UUUUGUUUGGUUUAAUGUGCACAGGAAUUUCAGAUGUUGGAAUGAAAGCCAUUGGCGAAGGUCUUUCCUUGUUGCAGUCAUUGGAUGUAUCCUACUGCAGAAAGCUGACUGACAAGGGACUAUCUGCUGUCGCUAAAGGCUGUAGCGACUUACGGGUAUUGCAUCUCGCUGGUUGCAGAUUCGUUAUGGAUGGUAUAUUAGAAGCUCUCUCCAAAAACUGUCAUAAUCUGGAAAAACUGGGAUUGCAAAGGUGCACAAAUAUUACCAACUAUGGAUCUUGCAAGUGGUUGUCAACAGAUCAAGUAUUUGGACAUCAACAAGUGGUUGUCAAAAGAGAAGAAGGAGGAGGUCGCCGGCGUUGAUGGUGGCUGACGGAGGCGCGACUGUGCGGUGGUGAUGGAGGCAGGGGCCGAGGAAGAAGAAUAGAAGGGAAAAAUGACGAAGGAAGAAGAAAAGGGUAGAGAAAUUUAAAAGAUUGGGGGAGGUUACAAAAACGGCGUCGUUUUUGUCUCCACGGACUUAUAUGUCCUGUUUCAAAAUGCUCCCUGCCAUGUGGCCUCCGUAACGGCCAUGUCAGUGCUACCUCUAUCAGGUCAGACUUUUCCGUCCCAUCCAAACGCCUGAAUUCGACGGAAGGAUUGAAAUGUCCACGUUUUUCGGAGGCGAGGGACUUGAAUGUAUUUUCCGUUUCUUGAGGACGAAAAUGUCCACGAAAAAAAGAUCAGAAACAAAAAUGUCUUUUACUCUUAUAUUUUUUUCUCAAAUUUUUUAAAUAAAAAAAUAAAUGUCUCAAAAAUAUCUUCUGUUUUGGGACACAAAUAUUAAGAAAGAGUCCAAAAUUACACAACAAAGCUAGAAUAGUCCAAAGGGUCAAGUAAAAUAUUGAUCUUUCAUGACAAAUUGACAUUGGGGUCUUAUUGGGCUGAUUCCGAUUCUAUCGAACUUUUCAUAAAUGGGCUUUUCUUGGGCCGGUUUUGAUUCCAUCCAAAAAUGAGGUUGGAUAUUUAUAGAUAAUGCGCUUUUAAGUUUUAAUUGCCCGUCCAAAAAAAAAGUUUUAAUUGUUUCGGAAAACUUUUUUAUUUUAUUUCAGAAUGGUAUUCCUAUUUUACAAGUAGUGCAAAAACUUUACUUGAUUGUUUAGAAUAAAAUAAUAAUCUAGAUACACUAUCAAUUGUUUUGAAUUAGUGUUUAGAUGAGGUGUAUAAACUGUAAUCUAACUGUAUUAUUUGUUGCUUUUUGCAUUAUGUGCGAAUUGAACUUUUUCUCUAGAGAUCGAGAACCUAACCAAUUAUGAAUUAUCAGAAAAAAAGGACUAUAAAAUCCAAAAAUAAGAGAAAGGGGAUGGAUCUCGCUAGAACCCACUAGCUAACGAAUCCACGCUGCAGAAUAUAUUUUAAGUUUCCGUCACGAGUUAAUAGUCAAUUUCGUCUUUAAAAGUGUCUUCGAUCUUCAUUUUCGUCUACGAAAGUUAAAAUUAAUAAAAAACGUUCUCGAAAAAUAUCUGUGUUGAUCACGUUCGUCCUUCCGUCUUCUCGGUUGAUGAGAUGGCAAACGGCCGCUUACGUGGCCCGUUAACUGCCAAGGUGGCAGUGAAGCAGGAUGACGUCGUUUUGGUUGAGUGAGCCAAUAGCGUUGAAACGUCGCCGUUUUAUCUUUUGAAGAGGUUUUGAAACGUUGCGAUGCCUUACCCCUGUCUCAUAUCAACCAUCGCUCUGUCUUUCGCUCCAAAACGUGUCGUCUCCGACAAGGUAUGCCCUAAGCGUUUGACCGAAGCUCUGCACCACUGCGACAAGGAUCGUUAGUGCUGCUAGACGAUUACAAUGGAAAGGCUUUGGCCGUUGAAUGCAGAGUAGAUGUUAUACUGGAGCAGCAUUGCUAGUAAAAGAAGGCAUUGAGACGUUGAGAGGUAAGGAUUGAACUCAUAAUAUGAUUUCUGACUUAUUCUGUGAUGUGGUGUAUUGUUACUGUGGUGGUAUUAAUGUUCGUCUGAUUUAGGGUUUGGGGUGACGAAGGGUGUAUUAGUGUUGUUUUAGCAUUUUCAUGUAUGAGAUUGUGUUACUUUGUAUGGCUCUAUGACAGUAGUCAGUGAUGUUUGAAUUUAGUGAUGGCUCUGUUGCAUGUUUUUUUUUGUUAAAGGUUGAUUGGUACCAACUGGGUGUACUAGGUGGUGAUUGAUACAGAGCAGUUGUUGCUGGAUUGCUAUUAUUUUAAUCAGAGGAUUCUGGCAAGGAGUUAGACUCUGAUGAGGAGACACCUACUGUUUAUCCCCAAUAUAAUGAAAAAACCAAAUUUGAAAACCUGAAGUUUGAGGUUAGUAUGACAUUCAAAUCAAAAGCUGAAUUUAUACAAGCCACUAGGGAUUACACUAUCCAGUGGGGCAGAAAUAUAUUAUUUACCAAGAAUGAUAGAGUUAGGGUUAGAGUUGUUUGUAAGUCAGACGAUUGUCCAUGGGUGGUUUAUUGUGCUUGUAACAGUAAAGACUUGUCUUGGCAAAUUAAAAUGCUAGUUGAUAAUCACAUCUACCCUAGUAAGAGAAAAAAUAGGGCUGCAACCCAAACCUGGACACUUAGCAAGGUAGUACCUAAGGUUAGAAAGCACCCAACUAUGAAGCAUCGAGAGGUUUAUGAUUGGUUUGUCCGAAAGUGUAAUGUGUACCUCAAUAGCACAUGCAUCACCAGGGCACUAAAAGCUGCUAGAAAAAUUGUAGAGGGUGAUGAGAUAGCCCAGUAUGGUUUGGUGUGGGAUUAUGCAAACGAGUUACUCACUAGCAAUCCAGGAUCCAGAGUGCAAGUUGGUGUGAUCCUUAUGCCUGAGAGUCCUCCACUAUUUGAUCGGUUCUAUGUGUGUCUUGAUGCUUGCGAGCGGGGGUUUAAGGCGGGUUAUAGACCUCUAAUUGGACUAGAUGGAGCGUUUCUGAAGACACUACACGGAGGACAAAUUCUUACUGCUUGCGGACAAGAUGCUAACAAUCACAUCUUUGUGAUUGUCUAUGCAAUUGUCAGUGUGGAAAACAAGGAUAACUGGCAAUGGUUUCUUGAACUGCUUCACAGUGAUCUAGGUGACUACAGAGAGCACAAAUGGUGCUUCAUCUCAUAUAUGCAGAAGGUAAUGAAUUCUGUAAGGACUAAUUUGAUUUACUGAAUAUUCUUUGAAGGACUAGUUUGAUUUAAUGAUUUCAAUGUUGAGGACUGAAAUGAUUUAAUAUCUUUUCGUGUUUGGUCUUUUGUUGCAGGGUUUAAUCCCUGCUGUUCAGGAAGUUUUUCCAAGAGUUCACCAUCGCUUCUGCGUGUGGCAUUUGUGGCGCAAUUUCUCGAAACAGUGGGGUAGUUGUGAGUUAAAAGAUCUUGUGUGGAAAUGUGCAAGGUCAAGGACAACAGUUGAAUUUGAUAGAAACAUGAAGAGAGUUAAGUUGAUCAACGAGAAAGCUUGGCAGUAUCUUGAUAAAUGGCCAAAAGAGGCAUGGACGAAGGCGCAUUUCAGUGAGGUUCCGAAAGUGGAUAACAUAUGCAACAGUGCCUGUGAGUCAUUCAAUGCAAAGAUCAAACACGAAAGGAGUAAGCCUAUCCUGACCCUGGCUGAGAAAGUUAGGAGAAUCAUCAUGAAGAGUAUGGUUGAUAACAGAAAGAAGUUGCAGAACUACCAAGGAAUUCUCCCUCAUGUUCAGCAAAGUAGGUUGGAAGCUAUGACAGUGCUGUCCCACCAUUGGGCUCCUCAGUGGUCUGGUGAUGAAAAAGAUGAGUUGUACGAAGUGCAUGGCUGGCCGACGAAUAUGGUGGUUGACCUGAGCAAGCACACAUGCACCUGUAGGUUUUGGCAACUUACAGGUAACAACUUUCUUCCCUUACUUAAUUAACAAUGUCUUCAUUCAUGAUAGUAUGUUUACUGUAUCAAUUUGUUUGGCUUGAUAAGAAUGCCGUGUAUGCAUGCAAUAUCGGCAAUACAAGAUAAGAAUGACAAGAGACCUGAAGAAUAUUGCCAUGAGUGGUUAAAGAUGGAAGCGUAUAAGCGUACCUACUAUUUUAAUGUCAAUCCGGUUAAGGGGUAGGGUCUAUGGAAAAAAACGCCACAUCCAGCACCAGUCCCACCCCCAGUGAAGCCUAAACCUGGGAGGCUAACAAAGAAGAAAAGAAGGGACAAAGAAGAACAACCGAGUGGGUCAAAGACAAAAAUGAAAAGAAAAUACAACCCAAUCCAGUGCAUGUACUGUGGUGAGGUUGGACACAACAAAAGAAGAUGCGCAAAGAAAAAGGUUGUGGAUGCUGAGGAACAUGCCAAGCAGAUGCAGCUACAAUUGGCAGUUGUUAUCCCAGCUCCAGAAGGUGCUGAACCCGAAGUAAAUGCUGCCCCUACUGAUACUGAUAUUGGUACAGAAGCUGAGGCACCUAUGCCUUCACUUCCAUCACCCACUCAGGCUGACUCAGAGAGUGACAGCAGUGAAUCGGAAUGCAUCCCACCAACCCAAGAGCCCCUACAGGUAGUAUCAUCACUCCUAACUCCUAAAAAAAUUUGAACGUAGCCUAAUCAUGUAACAAACUCAUUUGGUACUGGAUCAUACAGGAUCAAUUGAUUGGUAGGCCACCUAAGUUGCAAGUGAUAAAAAGAAAAGCAAGGUUAACGUCCUCCCCUAAGCAUAUUGCAACUGGAUCUGUGGCUGUUUCUGCUGAGACCAUUAAGGGGACAAGUUCUGGAACUGCUAAGCGGCUGGAAAAAUUCAUGACCUUUGUGCCUACUCCAGGCUUCAAGGCUCCAAGGAAGACUGAUGACAAAGUUUGAUUUGUUAGGAAUGUGUAGUUGUUGAUUCAUUUUGUGUAUGACACAACAUUCUGUUUGUUGCUUUUGUGUGUGGUAAUUUAGUCUAUGGACAAUGUAUCUGUCAGUUAAGAACCUUAUGACUUUGUUCUGCUAUUUCUCUAUUAAGACAAUGUGACAAUUAGCCGUCAAUGACAAGUUACUAUUAAGAUUACUUACUGUCUUCAUUUUGUUUAUGCCUCAACAUAAUUCAUGCAAACACAGAAUUAAUUGCCAAAUUUUAUAAAAUUAUCUACAUUUGAUAGGGAAUUGCUUCCAACUUCAAAUAACUACUCCCAUUCAAAUCAACAAUUUCAAUACAUCAUUACAUGUUCAUAGAGGAUAACUGGGUUCAUUUAGAAGUACAUAAGAAACAACAAAGUAUCACAACUACUACAAACAGCAAAAUCAUUAGCAGUUUCAAAGCUCUAACUUCAGCUUCUAAAGUGCCCAGCUUCCAUGCCACCUUCACCCUCCAUUCAUCAUACUCACCUUCAACCUCCAUAUCAGCUUCUGCAUCUUUCUUUGUACCACACACACCCACUGCUUCAAAUUCAUCAUCAUCAACCCACUUAAAAUAAUUGCAGUGACUGCCCUUCUACAAUUUCAGAUGGGAGUAAACAAAAAAAUCAGAGAACACCCAACAGCAUAUAACAACAUGAAAAAGCUUUAACUUCGUUUACCAUCACUCACCCGGUACCUUGGACAUGCAUGGAAUAAUCUAUUCGGAUUCUCCGCUGUUCCAGAUUUCUUAAUCACAGUCUUCAGCCCACAGAAACAUGAUCUAUCAUGAGCAUUCACCCUCCUCUUUCGCAUCAAAACACUGGAUCCAUGACUGUCCUGCGAUGCAUUUGACAAACCGCCACCACAACCACCAUCUCCUCUCUCCAUCCACGCAGCCAGCCAGAGAUUACGCCUCCUACUUACUUCUACUGCCACCGAAAGUGAUCACCUCGAUGUAUUUAUCGUUCGAUUUGGGACUAGGGUUUAUAAACUCGAAGGACUAAUUUGAUGUCUUAUACAAAACUUAUCUUGUCAGCAACAACAUGCUACAACCACGUAAGCGGCCGUUUGCCAUCUCAUCAACCGAGAAGACGGAAGGACGAACGUGAUCAACACAGGUAUCUUUCGAGGACGUUUUUGAUUAAUUUUGACUUUCGAAAACGAAAAUGGAGAUCGAUAAAACUUUCGGAGACGAAAUUGACUAUUAACUCGAUAAAUUACACUCACAACGGAGAUUUAAUUUAUCAAAAUUAUACUGAUUACUCCUCUAUUUGACCAAUAUAUACUCAAAUUUCUCUUAUUCUGUCAUUAAAUUGAAAGGGGAUUAAAAAGAAGUUAUACAAAGUCAGUUUUAAUCUUACAAUUUGAUCUCUAUGUAUAGAUAACUCAUAGAUAUAGAAUAAUGAUCAUAAAGCUCUUUUUCUUUUAAUUAACAUUGUUAUAAAUGGCAUUUUGUCAUUUUAGUUAAAUCAAACGAAAUAAGAAAAAAAAACAUUAAUAUACAGAUGAUAAAACAUAUAUAUGUAUAUACAAUAAUUUGUAAGUUAAAUUAACACCAAGAUGUCUAAGUGUAUUGUGUUAGACAAAUGUAAUGCAGGGUAAACGAAAAAUACACCAACUUACUUAGACCAUCCCAAGUACCACAGACCAAAUUUCCAAAAAGAGGUACCUUAGACAAUAGAAAAUAAAAUAUAAAACAAGACAGAGCAAAAUUAAAUGAAAAUGCAUAAAAAAAACCAUGAUAAUAAAAGUAAACAAAAAAACAAAAACAAACAUAAAAGACCGUAAAAGAACCAAAAGAACCAAAAGAGUAAAACAAAAAGUGAAAGACAAAGCCCGUACAAAAAACAAAAAACCAGAAUAAAGAAACCGUAAAAGAAAAUAAAAAAAUAAAAAAAAGGACCUUCUAAAGUACCUUGGAAUCUGGAUCCGCCACAGCUUAUUAUGCUGCAUUCGAUUAUUAUCAUGAGUGUCUUGAUCUUCGAGUGCCACUCUAAUUGUCCCAUAAGAGGUCUUCUUAGUACUAGCUCCAGGAAUCAUGAGCCCCUUUCUCCAACCAAACAAUGAUCUUCGCAUUCUUGAUCUGAACAUGUCACAUAAUGCCAAUUCUAACCUUCCCCAUUCUGACAUGACUUCAUUUUCCAUAUUUUCAUGUGCUCUGAGAUACGUUGCUUCUAGCAAAUAUUCAUCAGAAACUGCUAGUAGUUCAUUAGUAUAAGUAAUAGAUGCCUUCAAUUUACCAUAUGAUUUAUUACAGUCCAUAGCAUCUUUCUCUAUCUUGCUCAAUAAUUCUUCCAACACAGGAUCAUCACCGUAUUCUUCCUUCUGCGAUGAUUCUCCCCAUAUGGAUGGAAUCUCGCAUUUCAAUAGAAGAAUGGGAAUCAUCCUUCUAUUGUGUGCUUUGGCGCGUUCUUCAAUUCUCCAUGAUUCUUGGAAUGCCCUCCUCAUCACUGCUUUGAAUGUUGGAUCAUCUGCAUGUUUUAAAUCUAUUCUUCCCCAAUAACGACGAGUUGGAGGUCCAAAAAUAUGGUAUUCCUCUAAAGCAAUCAUCAUACCAAUAUUCAACAUGUCGCAGUCUUUCUCCAUCAUAAAUUGUGCACGUGCCUUAAAAAACUCUUCUGCGAAUUCUUGUACAGCUUGUAUUUGACCAGGGUUUGAAUCAGCAAUAUCUUUUGGCACAUUCUCCUUCAUCAACUCUAUUAACCGCAACACGUCCCAAUUAGAUUCUUCUGAUUCUUUCUUCAAACUUGCCCCAUAGUUAGAAGACGAAGAAGCUUCGUUAGCCUUGGCCAUCUUGUACGACCUCACCAAUGCCUUUGUAAAGCUCAUUCUAUCUUCUUCUAGAUCAACAAGAGACAAAUGCUCAUUGUCAAAUGUUUCUGUUGGAUUCAAAUUAUCUAUCACUUGUCCAAUUCUUUGCCGAGUUUGUUGCGGACUUCUUUCUAGAACUAACUCGCUUGACAAUUUGUGGUUGGGAAGAUGCUUGAAAUAAAUAUCAUCCAUGUUUGUCUCUCCCUUGUAAACAUAAACUCCCCAAUGAUUCAGAGUUAAGGUUGAUUCACAUACAACAUGAAUGGCUUUCCAAUCAUCUCCAAUAUAUGAAUCAAGAUCAUGCCACUCUUUGUCACUGAACAAAGUUCGAAGAUCAAAAAGUAACACAUGAUCUUCCCCAACAUUGAAAUAUUUGGACUUCUCCGGAAAUAUUUGUUGGCCUUCUAUAAACAAGUUGAGACCAACAGUGUAGGAUUUGGAUGAAGCAAUUUGAGGCCAGAAGUCUAGAGCCUUCAUCAAUGUCUCAUCAAUAUCACUGCCAGUGGCUCUCCCAAACAUGAAUGCUAAAGCAACAACAGGAAACUUUCGCCGAGCCCAAAACAGAGGAAUAUCUUUGCUGCAAUUGUAGUCAAGCCAAUUGGGAAUCUCCUUUUUUGGCAUCACAACUUCAAUUCUUUUAGUCUCUUGUAAAAUCUGCCAAUCAGAUAAAAUUAAUUGUAAAAUGAAUUCCAGCUAUCAAAAGGGAAAAGAAAAAGAAUUCUAUUGACUCCUCUAGUCAUCAAAUCUUCCAUAUAUGCACGUAUGAUACCUUGGACAAUGGCAUGGUUGAGGACUGUGGAGUUAAGGAUAGGCAAUAUCUUGCAUCUACUUUUUGAAUGCUUGAUGGAAGUUCUGGAAUUAUCAUAAGAUUAUUACAAUAACUCACGUCAAGAAUUUUCAAGUGCAAAAAUCCUUCAAUGCAUUUUGGGAGGGAUGAAAAACAAUUAUUUGAUACAUUGAUGCCUUCCAACUUCUGAUGAAUAUGAAGAAUUGGAUGAAGAUCUUCAUCUGAAAGAUUAGCACCACUGAAACUCAGUCUCCUUAUAUUUGGACUGCUGUGUCCUUUGAACCUUUUAAAUGAUCUUCCAAGCAGAGAACAUCCAUCUAUUGUCAAUGUGAAAAGUUUUGGCAACAUCAAGAAGCUACCUGGUAGGUACUGGAGUCUUUUGGAUUUAGAGAUGUCUAUAUGCUCGAGCCCUGUAAGAUUACCAAUGGAAUUUGGGAACUCCUCGAUUGCAGAAUUUACCAAGUUAAUCUUUAAUGGUUUGUCCAUCUCUUGCAUGAUUUCUGGGAAGCUUUGGAGGCUUUUACAAAAGUAAAAUGAAAGCACUUCGAGAGACGGCAAAUACAUUUCUGGUACAAAAUGUUUGAGCUUACUGCAUUCCGAAGCACUCAAAUACACAAGGUUUGGCAUAAAUCCAAUGGAUUCAUCAAAUCCUACCAGUUUAUUGCAUUUGUCAAGUGUGAGGACUCUCAGGCUUUUAGCUCCAGACAUAUCCGGGACGUGUGUAACGGAUUGACAUUGGGAGAGGUUGAUAAAUGUCAAAUCCUCAAAUACCUGCAAAACGGAGAUGCAUAAAUUGUUCAUCACCAUGUUCAAUUAAUGUAUUAUUAAGUUUUAUAAAUACAAUUUGAAGCCAUUAAAAAUUAAUAUAAGAUAUUGUGAAAGUUUAUUUACUUAGUGUACCCUUAAAUGACUAAUUCAGAAAUAGAGGGAAGGAGAGAAGUGUGCACCUGAAAUAGCCUUUCCAAUUUAAGAGCACUGUGAGGUAGCUUGAGAUCAACAAUUCUGUGGGGAUGAAAAUCUAGUGGGAAUGACUCUGAUGGAUACCCUUUCCACUCUAGUAGUCGUAAACUAUUUGGAAGAUGACUUGGUGCUGUUGAAAAUACUGUAUUCCGAACAAUUAGAAUUCUGAGUUUCUCCAUCUUGUCAAAGGCAGUAUUAAUCCAAUAAUUUACUUCUUCAAGUGUAGAAGGGUGAAGCAUUAUUCCUUCAAUUGAGCUACUUCCCUAUAACACACAAGCAAAGGAUCAAGACUUAGUACUAGAUUGCCACAGUUAAAACAUAACAAAUUAAGUCUUUUAAAGUAAACUUAUUUCUCUAAAAAAAUACAGUAGUGAUGAAACUUCUUACUGUGUCAUCUUUGAGUACUUGAAGAAUGUCUUUAUGAGACCAUAAUCUGCUGCGUUCACCCGGGUUUGUUGGCGACUCAUUCAUUACAAUCUCUUUGCCCAUGUCUUGUACUAGAUCAUGCAUAUCCAAGCAACCACUCUGAUUUACAGUGAUUAAACAUUUACUAAUGAACACUCGAACAAUUGGAUAGAAGUCACAAGCUUUCAGUACCCUUUUAACAUAAUCCCAUUUCUCUCCUUUGAAGAAACAAGCAAUGUCCAAGAAAGUUUUCUGAUCAAGUUCAUACAAGCUAUUGUAGCUUAUUUCAAGUACUCCUUGAAUACUUGGAUCAAUUCUAUACUUGUGCAGUUCCUCUUCCCAGCUAUCCACACUUGUAAAACCCCCUAAGUGGGAGCCUAUUACUUCUAAAGCCAGCGGAAAGCCCUUUGCAUAACUUAUUGCAUUCCUUGAAACAUUUUUAAAGUUCUCUGCAGGCUCCUUCCUGUUGAAAGCAUGCCAAGAAAAGAGUUCCAAGGAAUCAUCAUCAUUUAGCUCCUCCAUCUUGUAUUUCUUGGUGACAACAUCACCCAUCACAUGCUUGUCUACCACAUCAGUAUCCCUUGUUGUUAUAAUGAUUCUGCUGCCUGAACCAAACCAAUCAUGCCCUCCAGCCAGUGAUUCCAAUUGUGUUAUUGAAUUAACAUCAUCAAGAACUAGAAGUACUCUUUUGUGGCGAAGCCUCCGUUUGAUUUCAUAUCCUCCCUUAAAUUCACUGCCAAGGUCAGUUAUUGUCUCCUCACCCAUGUCAUAUAAAACUGUCUUUUGCAGACUUUCCAAGCUUCCGCGACUUUCAGAUUUUUCUCUGACAUUACCGAGAAAACAUGAAGCUUCAAACUGCCGCUUGAUCUUGUCGAAUAGACAUCUGGCCAAUGUGGUUUUGCCUAUUCCACCAGGUCCAUAAAUUCCCAACAUGCAAAUAUUUUCAUUAGACUCAAUAUUUAGUACUGAUUUUACUUGUUCACAGCAAGUAUCGAGUCCAACUACAUGCUGGGUUGGUUCAGGCAACGGUAAUCUGUCAGCGGUGUCUCUAACAAUAUUCUUGAUAAACUCCGGUUCAUACCUGCACAAACAUGAUGUUUUUCUUACUUUAAUUACGAAUGUUAUAUGAACCAACUUUAUAUAUAGCAUACACUUUUCUAUUAAAAAAUUAACAUCAGUUUCUUCAUGUUCAGGGAGGGUUCCAUCAAAGAAUUGCAGUUUAUUCUUUGACCUAAGGGCCUCAUUGUUUUGGCCCAACAAUGAUAAUUGGAAGGGUUCGAAGUUACAUUUACUAUCGAAACUUCAGGAUUCUCACCUGGAUGCAGGUAAUGGGAUUAUUUGCGUCUAAAUUCACAGUAAGAUUGCCUGCAGAAGAUUGAUUCAUCCUAUUCUGUAAGUUCAGAAAAUUCGAGAGCUGGUUCAAAAGUUUCGCAAGAUUCUCGAUGUCAAUUGGAGUAAAGAUGUUCUCUAUGUGAUCCUGGAUCCUACAAUUGUUCCUCAUUCGCCAUAGUUGGGCUGAACUGGGAACCUUCAGCAACAAUCUAUUCUUUCUACUUAGCCCACUCAGAUUCUCAUUACUGAUACAAUUUCCACUCUCAUCGCACCAUGUGAAAACCUCGGGCUUUGAGGAGGUUGCAAAGAAGAUGCAGACAGAGAUUGUAUGAGACGAGAGACAGAAAAAUAGCUCAUGUGAUUGAAGAUUACUUGCUGAAGAAUAAAGGAGAAUCUCAAACUGAUACUCAUUACAGAUUACAAUAGUUAUACAUGAGCUGAAAAUUACUCUUAACCCUGAUUAACUCUAACUACUUCCUAACUCAUCAUUAACAACUUUCUAACUAUAUUAAGUUAACGGUUAUCCAACUAAACUACUCUAACAUGUGUCUUCAACUCUUAAUUAUAGAACUACUUUUAUAACAAGAUAACUCAUACAUCUUUAUAACUAAUGAAAAAGUUCUGAGUAAGAAAUUCAUCUACAGUAAAAUUAAAAGUACAAAAAUGUUAAUUUUCAUAUAUAUACUGUUUUAUAGAACUAUUUUACACUAAAUAUAUCCAAUCAUAUACUAAUGUACAGAAAAAAAUAGUUAAAUAAUAAAAAUACUAUUAUUAUCUAUAUGCAACAACCUCAAGUUAGAUGUCAGUAUAAAAGAAUUGACAACACAUUUAAACUAGAAUCCAAUCUACUUACUUGAAACAUAUAUGAUUCUGUUGAAAAAUUAAAAUUAGGUAGAACAAGUAUAUCAACAGUGCGUGGUUCUGUAAAAGAAAACAAAAGAAGGCAAGAAAUGAAUGUAAUCGACUUACGUGAUCUCCGUGCAAUGCAGCCAUUUUAUUAGCUUUAGCGUGUCUACUUUGGACAAAGCUAAUCGCCAUGCUUUGACCUUCUCAGAGUCUUUUCCAUAUCUAUCCUCAUGUUUAGCCAUGGCUGUUUCAUAGGAACCCUUCUGUUCCCACACAUCUGAAGGUUUCAUUCUGUAAAUAAUUGGCAGAACCUGCUUCCCUUGCUUUUCGUGACAGUCAACGAUCUUGACCAACUCAUCAAGGCACCACGUCGAAGAUGCGUAGUUCUCGCACAGCACCACUAUUGCCAUUUUGCAAUUCUCGAUUGCGUUCAUAAGAACAGGUCUCAGUUCAUCCCCUACCCUCAGAUUCUCGUUAUCUCUGAACGUGUCGAUUCCAUUUCGCCGCAAAGCAUGAUAGAGAUGAUCCGUGAAUCGGUAGCGUGUUCCUCCUCUAAAACUCAGAAAUACAUCAUCAUUUGCCAUCACAAAUUCACAGUAGUUUGGUACUGAGUUUGAGGAAGAAAAUGUUAUUAGGUUUUGCAAUUGCAAAUGUUUGCUUAUUAUUAUUUGGUAUUGGAAUGUAUCUGAGGCAAUGAGCCAAAUCAAAGGAGCUAAAUUGGAUUCACACCAACAAAUUAUUUAAAAUGUUGACUUAACUGGGAAAGUAACGAACUUUUUUUUUUAAAAUAUUGGAUUUGUAGUCUCACCAAGAUGAGACAGCGAACGAGUUUAACGCCGUUAAGGGAGUGGUUACUGACGGCAGGAAAACGGCGUCGCCGUUUUGUCGUGCAUGGACGACACAUGGCAGUCCCCCCCAAGAGUGAACCUACCGAACCCAUCUUCCUCAUUUCUUCUUCUUCCGAUUCUGAUCUCCUAGAAUUAGUGUAUUACAUUUACACUCAACCACUCCACUAAAUACACAGGUGAGUAUUUUAUUUGUGGUUUAUUGUUAUUAUUUAAUUUUUGAGUAAUUACCCAAAUCAGUUUCCAAAAAUUUUAAAAAAACACAACUGAAUCACUGGCUGGAGGGAUGAUUGGUUUGGUUCAGGCAGCAGAAUCAUUAUAACAAGAAGGGAUACUGAUGUGGUAGACAAGCAUGUGAUGGGUGAUGUUGUCACCAAGAAAUACAAGAUGGAGGAGCUAAAUGAUGAUGAUUCCUUGGAACUCUUUUGUUGGCAUGCUUUCAACAGCAAGGAGCCUGCAGAGAACUUUGAAAAUGUUUCAAGAAAUGCAAUAAGUUAUGCAAAGGGCUUUCCACUUGCUUUAGAAGUAAUAGGCUCCCAUUUAGGGGGUUUUACAAGUGUGGAUAGUUGGGAAGAGGAACUGGAAGUAUAGAAUUGAUCCAAGUAUUCAAGGAGCACUUGAAAGAAGUUACGUUAGCUUGUAUGAACUUGACCAGAAACUUACUUGGACAUUGCUUGUUUCUUCAAAGGAGAGAAAUGGGAGUAUGUUAAAAGGGUAUUGAAAGCUUGCGACUUCUAUCCAGUUCUUCGAGUGUUCAUUAGUAAAUGUCUUGUCACUGUAAAUCAAAAUGGCUGCUUGGAAAUGCAUGAUCUAGUGCAAGACAUGGGCAAGGAGAUUGUAAUGAGCGAGUCGCCAACAAACCCGGGUGAACGUAGCAGAUUAUGGUCUCCCAAGGACAUUCUUCAAGUACUCAAAGAUGACACAGUAAGAAGUCUCCUCUCAAUUACUCUAAUUUUUUUAGAGAAAUAAAUUUACCUUAAAAGACUUAAUUUGUUGUUAUCUUUUUAACAAUGGCAAUCUAGGAAGUGUUGAUCCUGUGCUUGUGUUUUAUCGGGAAGUAGCUCAAUUGAAGGAAUAAUGCUUCACCCUUCUACCCUUGAAGAAGUAAAAUAUUGGAAGAAUACUGCUUUUAACAAGAUGGAGAACCUCAGAAUUCUAAUUGUUCAGAAUACAGAAUUUUCAACAGGACCAAGUCAUCUUCCAAAUAGUUUACGAGUACUAGAGUGGAAAGGGUAUCCAUCAGAGUCAUUCCCACUAGAUUUUCAACCCCACAGAAUUGUUGACCUCAAGCUACCACAUAGUGCUCUUAAAUUGGAAAGGCCAUUUCAGGUGCACACUUCUCUCCUUCCCUCUUUAUUUCUGAAUUAGUCAUUUAAGGGUAUACUUAAGUAAAUAAACUUUCACAAUAUCUUAUAUUAAUUUUUAAUGGCUUCAAAUUGUAUUUAUAAAACUUAACAAUAAUAUAAUUGAACAUGCUGAUGAACAAUUUAUACAUCUCCGUUUUGCAGGUAUUUGAGGAUUUGACAUUUAUCAAUCUCUCUCAAAGUCAAUCCGUUACUCAAGUUCCCAACAUGUCUGGAGCUAAAAGCCUAAGAGUCCUCACACUUGACAAAUGCAAUAAUCUGGUAGGAUUUGAUGAAUCCAUUGGAUUUAUGCCAAACCUUGUGUAUUUGAGUGCUUCUGAAUGCAGUAAGCUCAAACAUUUCGUACCAGAAAUGUAUUUGCCUUCUCUCGAAGUGCUUUCGUUUUACUUUUGUAAAAGCCUCCAAAGCUUCCCAGAAAUCAUGCAAGAGAUGGACAAACCAUUAAAGAUUAACUUGGCAAAUUCUUCAAUCGAGGAGUUCCCAAAUUCCAUUGGUAAUCUUACAGGGCUUGAGCAUAUAGAUAUCUCUAGAUCCAAAAGACUACAGUAUCUACCAAGUAGCUUCUUGAUGUUGCCAAAACUUUUCACAUUGACAAUAGACGGAUGUUCUCUGCUUGGAAAAUCAUUUAAAAGGUUUAAAGGACACAGCAGUCCAAAUAUAAGGAGAUUGAAUUUCAGUGGUGCUAAUCUAUCAGAUGAAGAUCUUCAUCCAAUUCUUCAAGUUCUCCAAAAGUUGGAAGGCAUCAAUGUAUCAAACAAUUGUCUUUUUUCCCUCCUAAAAUGCAUUGAAGGAUAUUUGCACUUAAAAAGUCUUGAUGUGAGUUAUUGCAAGAAUCUUAUGCUAAUUCCAGAACUUCCAUCAAGCAUUCAAAAAGUAGAUGCAAGAUAUUGCCUAUCCUUAACUCCACAGUCCUCAACCGUGCCGUGGUCCAAGGUAUCUUACAACCAUAUAUGGAAGAUUCAAUGACUAGAGGAGUCAAUAGAAUUCUUUUUCUUUUUUCCUUUUAAUAGCUGAAAUUCAUUUUACAAUUAAUUUUAUCUGAUUGGCAGAUUUUACAAGAGACUAAAAGAAUUGAAGUUGUGAUGCCAAAAAAGGAGAUUCCCAAUUGGCUUGACUACAAUUGCAGCGAAGAUAUUCCAAUCUUUUGGGCUAGGCGAAAGUUCCCUGUUGUUGCUUUAGCAUUCAUUUUUGGAGGAGCCACUGGCAGUGAUAUUGAUGAGACAUUGACCAAGUAUCUAGAAUUCUGGCCUCAAUUUGCUUCGUCCAAAUCCUACACUGUUGGUCUCAACCUGUUUAUAGUAGGCCAACAAAUAUUUCCAAAAGAGUCCAAAUAUUUCAAUGUUGGGGAAGAUCAUGUGUUACUUUUCGAUCUUCGAACUUUGUUCAGCGACGAAGAGUGGCAUGAUCUUGAUGCAUAUAUUGGAGAUGAUUGGAAAGCCAUUCAUGUUGUAUGUGAAUCAACCUUAACAUUGAAUCAUUGGGGAGUUUAUAUUUACAAGGGAGAGACAAACAUGGAUGAUAUUUAUUUCAAGCAUUGUCCCGACCUCAAUUCUAAUAAUAAUGCGAUUAUUAUUAAGGCAAAGAAGGGUGGGUACUAAUGGCAUUGUGGAUGUGAUUUGCGAUGUUAAAUACAUAACAUACAUGCAUGAUGUAUGUGUUGAUUAGGUCGCUAUCAGCCAUAGAUCUUGGUUCUCAAUUUAUUUGUAUGGAACAACACGAAAUGAAAAUUUGAUAGAUUUGGUUAGGAAUAGUUGGGUGUCUAGUAUUCUUCUUAAGCUGCUAACAUAGAAAAGUAUUAUGCAACUAUUGGUUAGUGCUGACUUGAUCUUAUAGUUACAGUGUUAAACACUUAAACACUUAUACUAACACUUUUUUUUUUAAAUUGAAUUUUUUUAAUCAAAAAAUUAAUUUUUUUUCUUAGAUAAUUGAAGAGCAAUAUAUAAUUAUUUGAAUACUUUCCCAACCUGUUCUGAUGCAGACAGGCAACCAUUUUUGAACACUACCAAGUGGGUUGAGGAGGUUCGCCAAGAACGCGGCACUGAUGUUAUUAUUGUCUUGGUUGGAAACAAAACUGAUCUUGUUGAUAAGAGGUGAGCAAUGAGUUGUUAAAUUUGGUGUUUUGAUUUUUAUUAAAAAAAAAAAAACUAUGUGAUUUUUCCGUAAGAAAUCUUAUAAGGCAAUUUUGAUACUUAACCUGCAGGCAAGUUUCUAUAGAGGAAGGAGAGAGUUAGAAGUGAUGUUUAUAGAAAGCAGUGCAAAAGCAGGCUUCAACAUGAAGGUGAAAAUUAAUGAGUCCUGCUAGUUAUCCCCAUAUUUCCUGGCAUUAUUCUUUCUUGCUCUUACAUAGAAUACAGAAUAUAUCUCAUCAAUUCACAGGCAGAUCAGCAUGCUAGAAAGGUUAUUUACUUGAUGACUACUUUAAUGGAAAAAUGUUGGUCGAGGAAACCUUCCGUUCACUUGAUGAGGGGCACAAUUGCUACAAUUAGUCCCUCGAUGUAAGAAUACAGAUAAUAAACAAGGCCUUUCCUUAGUACAGUGAUAUGCGUGUGAUUAAAUUCACAACUUAUAAAUGUUUUUUGAGAUAAAAUUUCCUACUGUGAGUUGUAUUAAAAUUUUAAGAACAACAGUGUUUAUUGAGAUAAUCAAUCGAAGCAGCAUGAUACCAUGUUCCACCAACCUGCAAGACAUAAAGUGGAGUGUUUCAUUUCAUUUCAAUUGCCUAACAAGAAGACACGCGCACAUGUCCUUCUCAAUCUCAUCUUAGAAGAAGGGUAGGUUUUGAUUGCACUAAGAAAGCUAUCAUGCAUUUUACUAUUAAUAUUUUUCCUUUUCGAAUUUUGGUUUGACAAGAUUAAAAGCUACAUUUCCAAUUGCUGUUUCUCUUUGCCUGUGCAUUAUGAUUUUGAUUUGAAGAUCAUACACAGUUUGUGUUGCACCUCUUGAGAGGCUUAAGCUGGAGUACAAUUGCGGCUUCUCAAGGGCUGAAAGGUUUUUGGAAAGGAAACUUUGUAAAUAUUCUUCGGACAGCACCCUUUAAGGCUAUAAAUUUUUAUGCCUAUGAACGCUUUGGAACAACUUGAAUUGAGUACUAUUAUAACUUUGUUGUAUGGUGCUAUUGCUGGAUGUUGUUCCGAAGCUGCUACAUACCCCUUUGAAGUUGUGAGGAGACAGCUUCAAAUGCAAGUUCGGGAAACAAGGUUGAAGCUGAUGGCAACUUGUGUCAAGAUUGUUGAACAAGGAGGUGUUCCUGCACUUUAUGCUGGAUUAAUUCCCAGCUUAUUGCAGGUAUAAUCUCUUAUGGUGCACAUUAAAUUUAAUUGAAUUAGUAAUUAGGAAAAUUGAAUUGUUAACCUUGGUCUUGAAAGUUGAGUUUUGAAUCUUAGCCCAUGUGUGUCAAGCUUUUUUCAUUCUUGUCUUUUGAUAUUCAUUGUUUAUGAGUUUCAGGUGUUACCAUCAGCUGCUAUUAGUUAUCUUGUUUACGACCCAUAAAGCUAACUAGCUUUUCAAAUUCUACAAAGCUCCAUCAAGUUAGGCAGCAAAUGAAAAGCUCUAUACAAGUGGCUUUCAGUGGAGAGCAGCCAAGCCAAAUGCAGAGAAGAACCCAAAGUGGAAACCAGAGAUGGUUCAUCAUGAAACCUGAAUGAAGGGCCCCAGUCAUAGAUUCAGCAAUUCCAGAGAAAAAAGCCAUAUUGAAUUUCAGCUUCUGGAUAAUGAGAAACCUGUAUAGAACAAAAGUUGACAAGUUUUGCCAUAAGAAUCAUAAUGUGACACUUGUGUUAAUGCUGACAAAUUGGAAAAGAGAACAUUUGUUUCAUGAAAAAGAUGAAAGCAUCAACUAAACCAAUGGAGCUAGAAUUGUGUUUAUAUACAUAUAUUUAAUCAAUUUAAGUUUUUCACUACAGCGUGGGAACUGAAAUUUGCAUGCUAUAACUUUUUAAACUAGAGAUGAGAAAUUCUACUGCAAUUACCCAUCUAAAAUGGAUGAAGUGUGUGCUGUUCCAAGCACUCACAAGGUGCUUGAAACCACUACAUCUUUGCACUAGGUUUCAUUGAAUGCUUGCAUUACCAUAUCUAUGAAUUCUUGCAAUAUUAAACUCUGCGUUUCAGACAGAGAAGAGUAUAUUAGAUGGAGACAAGGAAAAAGUAGGAGGCAUUAUAGAAAAUUUCAAAUAAUAAAUAACGUCAACACAAAAAACUUUGAUUAUACCAAAACCUUUUGCCUCCUUCACUUUUCCAGGAUCAAAUUGGAAAUCCAAUGAAGCAGGAAAAAAGAAAAAAGAAAGAAAGAAAAGAAGAAAGGUACUCUUGCGGUAGGAGUUAGGAGCAUAACGUAUCUUUAGAUUGUAUUGAAUCUAAUUGAACAAAAAUGGCACAUUAAAAAUGAAAUAGCACAGAAUUAUGGUUAUAUCAAAUUUUGCAACAUUUUCUAUAUAUAUAUAAAUCGUAUUCGCCUAUCCUUUACAGCGUGUAACAUAGAAAAGUAUUAUGCAACUAUUUAGUGCUGACUUGAUCUUACAGUUAAAGUUUUAAACACUAUACUAACACUUGCUUCUCAAAAGUUUCGUUAUAAUAAUUUAAUUUACUGAUGCAAGCAUACUUGAGAAAGAGAUGUUAAUCAAGCAAUUGGAAUAGUAAAACUAUUUGUAAAAAAUUCUCAUGGAGAAAAUUAUAUAAUAAGAGAAAAUUAUUAUUAUUAUAAAAAUUAAAAUUGUUAAUCAUACAAUGGGACUAAAUUCAACCACUGAUAUCUUUAGUUGAAUUUUAAAUUUUAUAAUUUUAUCUUGAAAAGAUUUGACCAAACUGAUCACAUAAGAAUUUGUUAGAGAAAGAUAUAUAAAAAAAAAUCAGAAAAUAAGAAUUUGUUUGGAAAACAUAAAUCUUUCGUCUAAUUGUUCUUUUAAUUAGGAUUGGCACCUUUUUUUCAUUUAAUUGUUCUAUUAAGAUGAAAUUUGAUUUAAAUUAAUUAAGAACAAGUCAUAAUGAUAUCUUUACUUGAAUUUUAAAUUUUAUAAUUUUAUCUUAAAAAGAUUUGACCAAAAUUGAUCAUGUAGAAAUCAGUUAGAGAAAGAUAUAUAAAAAAAUAAAAAAAUAAAAAACUUAAAAGAAAGAUGUUAUGUUUAAAAAGGAAAAUGAAAAACUGAAAAGUGUUCUAAUUAUCUAGAACACCAUAGUUAAUCAGAUUGUUUAUAAACAAUGUUAAUUAUACAAUAUUGAUAUAAUCAACAGUGAUAAUAGGUAACUCAAAAGAAUUAUUUUACAAAAGUCUGAUAUUUUUUUUCUUUACUGUAUACUUGUAUAAGGAUUUUGGUCUACAUUUAAGAUCCUCUAAAGAAUUGAUAAACAAAAAAUAUUUUUAAAUUAGAUAUUUGAAUCUUAAAUUAAUUUUAUAUUUUUGAAAAAUCUUUUAAAUAAUCGCUCAAUUAAUUAUUCUGAUCUUUAGAGUACACAGGAAUAAGUCGUAUUUUAUUUUUGGUAAAUAGUUUUUUUUUAAUUUAUAAUUUAUAAUUAAAAAUUUUUUUGUUAAAUAUAGCUUAUUUUGGUGUAUCUAUGUAUUUUUUGAGACGAUAAUAAUAGUUACCAUCAAAUCCAAAAAACUAUAAUAAUGAGGGCAAAAAUAAUUAUUUUUUGAUAAGGAGAAUUAUAGUUGUUUUAUGUAAAUUUUUUUUGUCUCUCACACAAUUUUGGUAAAAAUUUAAAAUUAGUUAAUUCGAGUUAUAUUUAUUAUAGAUUCUUUAAUUAUUGGACUAUAAUUUUCUGUUGUAUUAUAUAAAAAAAUCAAUAAGAAUGCUAAUUAAUUUAAAAAAAAAAUACCAAAAAAUAAAAAGAGAAAAAAAAUACUAGUCUUUAAGAAUGAAAAUGAAACCAUCUGACAAUUCAAAUCUAGUUAAUGGCCCUGAAUUUGAUUCCCCAUCCCUCACUAGCCACAGAUUCAAAUUUUGUAUUAAAAAAAAAAACAAAACCCCACAAAGUAAUCAAUGUUAUGAUGAAGAUCAAAGAAAAAAGAAUUAAUUGCAAACAAACCUGGUCUCCUGCAAAGUCAAUGAUAGCAGCCAUUCUGGGCUGAAGCAAUUGUUUUCCUUUUACUUUGAGAAACAAUAUGCCUCCAUUAUAAAGACUUGACAAAAUUGCAAUAGCCAGCAAAUAUCUGAGCCAUUGUUGAGUUCCAAUAAUCAAUGUUGAGAAUUAAGAGACAUAAUAAAAGCAUUUUCUUUAGAUAAUUUCCUAAUAAGUGAACUUUCAGUUAUAAACUGCCCUUAACAAAUUGGAAUUCACAUACACAAUCAAUCAAUUGAAUUUGGCAAAUCUAUAUUGUUUUGGUGAAUUCAAUCGAUGAGUAACAAAAUCAAUCGAUUGAAUUGUGAGACCUCAGGUUGUUUUCAAGCAUUCAAUAGAUUGGAGAGUAUAAACAAUCGAUUGAAUUACAAAAAUUCACUAUUUAUUCAUCGUUUAAUCGAUUGGGUCAUAUGACCAAUCCAUUGAUUUAUGCGAAAAUCAUGCUGCCUUGCAAUUUUCAAUCGAUUAUUUUGUGAUAAACUGUAAUCCAAUCGAUUGAGUUAUAAUUCAAUCGAUUGUUUUGAUAAUCCAAUCGAUUGGUUUUCAAGGAAACACGAUUUUAUGGUUCAUCACGAACGUCACAGAUCAAAUAUAAACUUUUAAUCCAUUCGAAUGGCCAAAAGUUUUAUUACGAUCCAUGGAAGAUCUAAUUCGUUAUUGUUUUUGUUUUUUAUUAUUAACAAAUAACAAACAUAAUAGAUGAUUGAUAAAAUAAUAAUUUAUAAAAUAAAAAAUAGUUUUUAUAAUUAAAUAAAAUAUAUUGGGUUAAUUUGUAAUUAAAAUUAGUUAAAGGACUAUAUAGCAAUUGUUAAAAAAACUUUUAAAACAUGUUUUGUUAUGGGACCAUUUAAUGGUCCAAAUGUUCUGGGACCAUCGAAUCGGGUGCCCUGCUUCAUAUAUACAACGAUAGUCUCAACCAAGAUAAUAUAUUACUUAAUACUUAUUGGUCUCUUUUUAACUCAUUCUCCCAUGAUUUGGUCUCUAGCACUGAACGAGCGUGAUUUUAUUUAGAACUUGGAAAACAAUCGUACACAUUUGUAGUACAAUAUAUUAGUAUAGAUGUAUUAUUAUAUCAGCACUCUGGACUUUGGAAAUUUUUUCCAUAAUAACGAGACACUGAAACUGAUGACAAACUCGAUUUUUUUUUAUCUAAUAAUAUAAAUUACUGAUAAUAAUAUUGACACUUCUUGAUGAUGAUGAUAAUAAUAAUAAUUUUUCAAAUAUACCAAAUUAUAUAAUAAUAUUCUUCCAAAAUAACAUCAAGGAGACUGAGACUUAGAGUUAUUAUUUUAAAAAAGAUGAGUGAUACAUAAAGUAUUAGUAUACCAAAAAUGUCGAGUAAAAAUAAUUUAAAAACAAAUAUAUUGUUACUAUAUCUAAAAUUGUAUACUAAGAAUGUUAUGAGAUGUAUUCAUACAAAGCAUGUAAUUAAAAAUGUUAGCAAAUAUGAGAUAAUAGAUUAAAGAAGCACACAAACACUAUGUAAUCUUUAUAAUAUUAAAAGUAGAAUAGCAAAACAGUGUAACAAACCCUUCCUUGCUAACACAUUGACACGUGUACUCCCUAUUAAACUGAUACAGAAAAAUAACAUAAACUAAAAUAACCAACAAAAUACUGUUACAUCGGACAUCUAAACAAACUAUCCAUACAACAAAUAGUCACCUGCCAUGACAUUAAGACCCUAACUACAAACAAUCACAGAGUUGAAGUCUCUAAAUUAUCUAAUCACUACUCACCCACCUCUUACUAGCAAACUUUGUGUCCAUUUUCAUUAUACAUUCAAAAGCAAAAAAAGGAUUGUGUUUCUUAUGUCCCGCUUUUAUUUUUUUUUUAUCUAUCCAUCAAUAUACAUAUGAUUUUGAUGUGGUUAUUUUUAUCCAUUUAUAAUUAAUAUGUCAUUCUAUUUUUGUUUUCAUUUAAACUUAUUAUUUUUUUCUUCCCAAUUACAAGUUAUGGGUUAUAUAAUAUUUUUGCUGAAUUUAAUUUUAACCCAAAAAAAAUCAUUCAAUGUAUAUUAUUACUAAAUUACUAUUUUUGGAAAAAAAAAAUAAUAAGUACAUGGACUAAAAUAGUAAUUAAAUAUUUUUAUCUUUUCUUUUAAUGAGAAUAUUUAUUUAAAUACUUAAUUUAAAUGAUAUUUAAAACAUGCAUCAAAUCUGUCAUUAGUUAAGAAAAUGAGAAAACCAAAUUUUUUGUUAUGUUAAAUUCUUUGGUGACAGUGAUAAGCACGUUUCCUUUAUCUGGUCAUCGGGUCAGUCUAGCCAAAAAAUAAUUCAACCCGCCUGAAAACCCACUCAUGAACCCGCCCCACCCAUACUCUCCUAUGUAAGCACUCAUGUUUUAUGGGUUUUUCUUAUUGUUGUUGGUCUAUGAGUUUCACAACAUGUAAAAUAAUAUAAAAUAGUGAAAAUCUUGAAAACCUAAUAGUAGUCAACAACAAUUAUAUCUGCGGAAUGAUUGAGCAAUUCAUUAGCUAAUUUAGAACUGAUCCAAAACCAAUCCAAAUGCAAUCAAACUAUUUCAGCAACUUAUAACCAAUUCAACAUUUCAAUUGUACCAAGAAGCCAAAGCUGAAUGAAGAAGAAUGAAAUAGCUUGAAGAACAAAGACCAACAAAGGAAUCUUAGAAGAGAACAGAACGAAAAAAUCUGAAUAUACCUCUUUAUUAUUAGUGUAAGAAAAAAAGAUCCAUACAAAAUCAAUGAUCUAAAUCUCUCUCUUUACCUGAUUAGUCAUAGCUAUUUAUACAUGUACUUCAAAAUUAUUAUGCAGAUCGAUAACCAAGUUGAGAACACUAAUCUUAACAAACCAAACUUAAAAGUAGAAUAGCAAAACAGUCUUCCUUGCUAACACAUUGACACGUGUACUCCCCAUUUAUACAUUGCUAACACAUUGCUACCAAAUAAAGCUUAAUAACCAAUCUCAUUAGAAGCUAUUUACACAUGUACUUCAAAAUUAUUAUGCAGAUGAAUAACCAAGUUGAGAACACUAAUCUUAACAAACCAAUCUCAGUCUUCUUGGCUUUUUAUUUUUUUAUCUUUGCUAUCUUUAUUUGUACCUUCAACAAAUUCAUCCAGUGCCAUACUUAUGCCUAAUCAGUUCAGCAACCAGUCAACAUUUUAUGAUUUAAAACUUACAAUUAAUCAACAACAAAAUAUAAAGAAAAAAGCAUAAUCACAGUGCAGCUAAGCAAUCAGAAUCAAACCAUAAAUAUCUCAUAAUUACGAAAAUUUCAGCAGUCCAUCAGAAUGCAAUGAGGCAUGCACCAUAUCAUCAUCAACAUUUUAGAAUCAGGAAAUCAGCUACUGGAAUCACCAAUCCAAAAUUAGAAUAAAUCAGCAUCAACAUCUGAAGGCAGGAUUAAUAAAUUGAACAAUUGAAUUUAAAACUCAUCAACAGAAAGAAUUCAAAUAAAGAAUCAAGAAAUUAAUAUCUGAACAAUCAGAAUCAUAAAAAAGACACCACAUGCAGAUUGAGAAUAAAGUUCAAAUUUUAGAAGAGUCGAGUCCGAGAGAGUUACUCUGAGACUUUAGACCUGAGGGUUUAACAUUUGAAAACUUUGGCCAUCGUGAUAAACUGCAACUGCGAAACACCACACGCAGAACAGAAGCAACGACGGUGAGAUACGGUGUGAAUUGGACAACCAGAAACGAUGCCGGCGAGGAAGGGAGUAGCAGACACGCGACGGGGGUCAGAAGCAGAAACGACGCAAAAGAUGAAGGUAGAACCCGCGACGACACACGACGAGGAUUGGAGACACGGCGACGACGACCCACGGCGAGGAGCAGAAAAUCAUUAACGACGACCCAAGGCGAGGAGCAGCGAGGCAGCGACAGAGUCAAAGAGGGCGACAGAUAGACAAGGAAGAGAAGGGCUCGGUGAUCACAACUAUGUGGGGCUGUGUGGCCUGCGGUGGCUAUGGGGUGGGUGGCUGUGGGUGGCUACGUUUCUUUUUGAAAGUCUCUGCAUUUUCAGAGAGUAGAGGCUAAGAGGGGUGGGAGUGGGUUGCGGGUUUUGGGUUGUCAUUUGUUUUAUUUUAUUUUUUUUGUAUUUUUUUUCCUAACCUAUAAAACCGGGCUCUUAUGAGGGGGGGUAUUCGAACCGUAAUCCUUUAAUAAACCCCCCGGAUCAGGAGAUUCACCGGUUAAUUUCCGGUUCAACAUAUUUUCUGUUCAGUUUUUUAUCAGCCAGCCGAUCCAGCUCGGGUUCGAAAACUAUCUUAUAAUGGGGAGUGACUCUUUUAACAAUUUGAGAAUCAACCAUAGUUAGUAAAGUAACCUGUUGAUUAAUGCUCUGAUGGAAGCCAUCAUUUCACAUUUCAUAUUUUAAAUGAGGCUCAUUUGUUAACACAGAUACUUUAUGCACACCAAGUACAGUUUAUAGGUAUCUAUUGUUUUACUACUUAGAGUUAAUAAUACCCCAAAAGAAAAAGUAAAUGUCAUUGUCAACCAUUAAUGUUUGCUUUAAAAGAAAACAUGUAGUCAUGUAGAUUGUAUGGCUUCUAAAUAGCAAAGUCACAGAGUUGGUAUUGUCUUAGUGAUUGAUGUGGUUCCAUCCAUUCUAUUAAUUGCACCAACUUCUUAAUAACACCAUAGAUUUAUAACAGAUGACAUAAAUCCUAAUUUAAAAACCUAUUGAAUAAUGUUGGAUUAACUUUUGUUUUUGAUCGCAUACCCUAAACAUAGCCACUUUAAGAAUUUGAUAGAAUUAUCGUCAUUUUUUAUAAAUAUUAGUUAUUUGAAAAUAGUAAUAUAAUCACAUCAUAUGCAAGUUAUGAAAAAUAAUUAGAAGUUUUAAUUAUACUCCUAUUUUUUAAAUAUAUAAUUGAUUGAGAUUAUAUAAUAUUUAGUGAUUAAUAUUUGAGUAAAUUAUGUUAUACAAUAUAUUUUUUUUAUCUUAGUUAUCAGUUAUCAGAGCUAUUUUAAAUAUUAUUUAUAUCAAUAUCAACAGUUAUUUUUUAAAAAAAUUCUCUAAUUAUAUAUUGGACAUAAUUAAAUAAAUAACAAAGAUAAGAUUAAAUAAAUUUGUUGAAUUGAUACAUUUUUCGUCUUUCAAUAAUAGUUAAAAGUUUCAAAAAUAGUCAUCAAGGUUUAUUUUGUUUCAAUUUUGUCUUAGGAUAAGUUUUUCCUUUGAAUUAAAUGUACUCUUCCUGAAUAAUUUUUUACACAAUUUUACAAUUCUUUAUUUAUAGUUUUGUUCUCCUAUACUAUAUAAAUUAUUGGGCAUAACACAGCUGUGAAGAAUAAUAAUAAUAAUAAUAAUAAUAAUAAUAAUAAUAAUAAUAAUAAUAAUAAUAAUAAUAAUAAUAAUAUUUUUGACAGAAAUUAAAUAAGUUAAUGAUUUUUAUAAACAUGGUGUUCAAAUGCUUACCAAAGGGACAUUUGAUCGAAAUCAAAAUAAUAAUAUAAUCACAUCAUAUGCAAGUUAUGAAAAAUUAUUAAAUAUUUUAAUUAUACUCCUAUUUUUUAAAUAUAUUAUUGGUUGAGAUUAUAUAAUACUUUAAUGAUUAAUAUUUGAGUAAAUUAUCUUUUAUACAAUUUUAUUGUCAACGAUAUAUUUGAUUCAAAUUUAAAAACUUUAAGGAUAAAGGUGAAACAAACUAAAACUUAGAGUAUUCCUAAAAUUUUAAACGAAUUUCAGAGAAAAAAAAAUAUACUUUAUCCAAAUUUGUAAUUAUCAUCUACUUACAAUUCUAAAGCCUUUUGGAAGAAUUUUGUCAAAAAAAUUUUGAAAAUACAAUUUUAUCGUUAACAAUUAAUAUGGUAAUUUGAGUCUUGCUCCUUAAAAGCUCGACUUUAUUUAUCCAUCCCAACUCUUUCACUAUUUAGUAUUUUACAAGGUCAUUUUGCAAAGAUUAAAUAAAUUUGUAGAAUAAAUACAUUUUUUGUCUUUCAAUAAUAGUUAAAAGUUUUAAAAAUAGUCAUCGAAGGUUUAUUUUGUUUUAAUUUUGUCUCAGGAUAAGUUUUCACUUUCAAUUAAAUGUACUCUUUGUGAGUAAUUUUUUACAUAAUUUUACAAUUCUUUAUUUAUAGUUUUGUUCUCCUAUAAUAUAUAGAUUGUUGGACAUAACACAGCUUUGAAUAAUAAUAAUAAUAAUAAUGACAGGAAUGAGGAUAAUGAUUUUCAUAAACGUGGUGUUCAAGUGUUUACCAAAGAGACAUUUUAUCGAAAUAAAAUUAAUAGUAUAGUCACAUCAUUUGCAAGUUAUGAACAAUGUGUAAAAAUUUUAAUUAUACUCCUAUUUUUUAAAUAUAUAAUUGGUUUAAAUUAUAUAGUAAUUUAAUGAUUAAUAUUUUAGUAAAUUAUCUUUUAUACAAUUUUCCUAUCAACGAUAUAUUUGAUUCAAAUUUAAAAAUUUUUUGGAUAAAGGUGAAACAAAGUAAAAUUUAGAAUAUUUCUUGAAUUUUAAACAAAUUUCAGAGGCAAAAAAUAUACUUUACCCAAAUUUGUAAUUAUCAUCUACUUACAUUUCUAAAGCCUUUUGGUAGAAUUACGUAAAAAAAUCUCUAAAAUACGAUUUUAUCGUUAAUAAUUAAUAUAGUAAUUUAAAUCUUGCUCCUUAAAAGCUCAGCUUUAUUUAUCCAUCCCAACUCUUUCACUAUUUAGUAUCUUACAAGGUCAUUUUGCACUUAAUGUUAGCUAAACCAUGCAAGACCUAAAACUUGUGAAAUUUAUUGCAUCUGAAGAAGGUAGUUGUGCUUUCAAAGACAUAUUAACAUUCUAUAAAUGGACUUCAACAAGCAUUGGUCACCACAACAUAUUGUUUGGAGUUUGUCAAGUACUCUAUUUUACACUUUGUAAUCCUAAGUAUGAGUGAUAUACCUCCAACAGAAGUUGAGGUUCCACAACUCCCUGAUGAGAUUAUAAGUGAGAUCCUCUAUUUAUGUGACGCUCAAACCAUUGUCAGUUUCAGUGCUACUUGCCGUUAUUGGAGGCAAAGGGUAACUUCAUUUGAAUUUCUCAGUCAAAUCUCAAGGAUAUGGAAAAGGCGUGGCUGCUCACUAUUCAUUCACUUUGGGUUUGCAUCUCCUGUGAUCACCUCGGUGGAUUGGAUAAUGAAGAUUGAUGCCGUUACCGGGGAAACCGGCUACCUCAACUUGCCUUUUCUUUUAACCCAACACGGUUGGUUUCAGCUCAUUGGAGUCGAGAUGGGAAUCUUCUGUAUCCGUUACUCCUCCCUUGGAAGGAGAAGCCACUUGGUGAUUUGGAAUCCAGUUUUUCAAAUCCCUCGGGUACUAGAUGAUCCUUUGCAAGGUGGUUAUUGUGAGGGUGCUUUCACUUAUGCCUUUGCUCACUUUCCUAACAGUGUUCAUUAUGCAAUUUUGCAUGUAUUUAAAGAUGAACCCGAAAGCACUGCUUACACUUUAACUAUGUAUACAAGUUUCACUAGGAAUUGGCAUGUUAGAAUUGCAUGUCCUUCGUAUGUGCAACGGUUGGAUCAUUCAUAUGUUGCAGCCAGUGGUGUUGUGUAUUGGCUUGCUGACCGUGAAGACAAUGAUCAACCAUACAUUGUAUCUUUUUCAUUGAUGACAUUGACUUUUGGCCAAAUUUACGUCCCUCCUCAAGCUACGUCUCAUUGUGGUUGCCUUUUGGUUAGAGAUGGAUGUCUAUGUUUGGCAUCAAAUAAUCACACAAUCUAUUCAUACAACUCAGUUAUAUGGCAAGUAAGUGACACCCAUGGAGGUGUUAACUGGUCACAACUAUUUACAUAUAAUGGAAUAGGUACUUUGUACGUGCCAGCUGUCAUGGUUGAUCAUGAUGUUAUCCAAGUUAUGGAGAGGCACCUACAACUGGUUGGGGCUCAAGUCAUUGCGUACUCUCAGUUUUUUAUGGUUCGAUAUAACCCCAUUGAAGGCACAAGAAAGAGGCUUCAUCGGGUUUUUUAUGAUAAUUAUGUUAAGAUUAAAUCUAUCCAUGCAUAUGAAGAAACUUUAUUUCCUGUGUGAUGGAUUACCUAGAAAGUUGUAAUAGCCAUGCGUUGCUCCAAACUAUGCUUCCUAGGACUUAGGGUUUAAAGCUUUAAGGGUUGUGUGCUAUUUAGAGUUGGUUUUAGUGGAAAACUAUGUCUUUGCUUAUUGUGGUUUGUUUAGUGUGUAUGAGUGUUACCACCAAUGUCAUAUAUUGGUUCGACUUGCAUUGUACAACGAACACCAUGCAUGGCAUUGUUGGUUCGUUUGUAGUAUUUAUCCUUUAUUUUUAAGUUCAUCUGCCUUAUUUGUGUUGUAAGGGUUUGUAUUUGAGUUGGUGCAAAGUAUUUUAUUUAUUAUGCUGUGUUUUUAUGAUUAUAUACUUCGAUGGGUUUGAAAAGAAAAUGUUCGAUUUCUUUCUCUUAGAAAGACACAACACAUAGUGAAAGUUUGCCAAAUAGUUUCCAAUUGUAUACCGUAUUUGAUGAGCAAGUUAUAUUAAAAAUAUCAAAUCUUAAAGGGCAGCUUUGAAUGACUCAAGAGAGUUUGAUUAUGUUAUGAAACAACUUUGGAUAAAUGAAAAAAAAAAUAUUAGUCACACCAAACAUAGCAUUCAAAAUCAAUCUUAAUGAAGUUGUUUGGAAUAAAAAAAAGUAAAAAAUAAUAUUGUUUACAUAAAAUUGUCCUAACAUUUACUAUCAUAAUCAAAGAGUUCUUCGAAGAAAGGAAAUAAACGAUUUUAUCAUACACACACACAAUCCUAAUAAUAUUAAAAAAUGUUUGACAAAACUAAAAUAAUAUUGCUAUGCAUGCACCCCUAGCAUUAUCACAAACAGGAUAAUACUUUGCAUGUUAAAGCACCGUGUUGUUAGUGUAUUACCAAAAGUUAUUACAUUUAAUGUUGGUUUAUGUCCAUCCUACUUGAUUGCUAAUGAACUAUGCUAAAUGGGUGUUGACUUUCUCAAGAUAUUAGAGGCUAGGUGUAAUUAUUACUUAAGUAUCUACUUUUACUUAUAUGUAUAUUUAUUAGUUUGCCUCUUUUUACACUGCACUCACUAAUUAUUAUCAAGUGGUUCAAAAUAAAAAAUUAAAUGAAGAUGGGACAUGAAAUAUUGCUUCAGGUCAUUUCUAAAUCUUUUCUUACUUAUUGUGGAGUAGUUCAAGACAAAGAAUUAAAUGGAGAUAGAUAUGAAAGAUUUCCUCCUGUCAUUUCAAUCUUUCUUACAUUGCCUUUAGUAUACUUAAAACUUAAUAGAUGUUAGCUUAAUAUCAAAAUAAGAAGUAGAAUUUUUGUAAGAUAUGAUACCAUUAUUUAUAAUCUAGAUUUAUUAAAUUUUUUAAAUAUUAUUUACUAUUUUUGUAGGAAUUAUUAAUAUCAUAUCAUCUAAAAUUCUCUUAAGUAUAUAGUCAAUGGUAAUGAUUAUUAUAACAAAAUGAAUUAAUAGAGAUAAAUUAAAAUAUAUCAAAAAAAAUUGCUAAAAUUGCAGCUAAUUAUUUUUUGCAAUUAAGUAUUAUAAAAAAAUAAUUCUUAAAUUGUCUAAUCGGUGAAGAUGGUUGUUUAUAUCAUCAUUUAUUUUUUUAAGUUAUAAAAGUUAGCUUCUUUAUUUGCUUUUUGCCACCUUCACUAUUUAACUUGAAGUUUGCAUCAUCUACUGUUUCAUUUUACAUCUAUCACAUAUUUGUCAGGUUGCCAAUUUGAAUGAAGGCUAAUGCUACAUUUAAGAGAACUAUCUAAAAGUAGUGAAAGAUAAAACAAUAAAGCAUGCAACUAUGUAUUAAAAAAAAUAUUUUCAAACCUUAACAAUACACAUCAACUAGCAUAGAUAAAGGUGCCCAUAUAUGAUGGAGCUAAGAAGAAUUAAUUCCUCAACUUAAAGAAACUAAACUAACAUUUGGUUCCGGAUCAAAAAAAUAAGACGACAAGUAGAAUGGCAUCUUCUAAACUUUUGUAUGAUUUAUCAAUAAGUUCCAAUAAAGAGAACAAGUUAAACAUAAUGGCAAGGUUAGAAAUGGGAUAGUAUAAAAUAUCCUUUAGGCCCCAUGUGAUUUAUUCCUAGCCAAAAUUUAUGUAAUAGUUAUGUGCAAACCGGUUAUAUGCCAAAUACUAAAGCCCUGGUUGCAUGCUUCAUUACAUAAGUCAUGUCACUUCUUUGAACAAUUUGAUUGUUAUUGUCCGAACAAAAAAAGAAAAAUGUUUCUUGAUUUAGCUUCCAUGUUUUGUAAUAAAUAGGCACUACCACCACACUACCCUUAUGCACAACUUUUUCAUCUCCACUAAAAACCUUAACCUGCUCAUCUGUUCAACUAAAGGGAAGCAUGAGUGACAUAGCUCCCACAAAAGCCUACCCUUUAACUCUUCCUGAAGAAUUAAUCUUUGACAUUUUUCUCAAGAGUGAUCCGAAAACAUUGGUUGCAUGCAGAGCUACAAAUCACUACUGGAGGGACAAAUUGAAUGCGAUUCCAUUUUUGCAAGAGACACACUCAAAGUGGAAAGCAAGAGGCCAGUUCAUCUAUCUUCAUUUUACUCUUGGACCUUUCAAUCAAAGGCCUGAUUGGAUCAUGAAGAUGGAUGCUACAACAGGGGAAGCCAUGCAGCUUGCAUUGCCUGUAACAAUAAAUCCUGGAGGUUGGUUUCGAAUAAUUGGCACCGCAAACGGCAAUGUAUGUAUGCGUUUCUCCUCUACAGGUAAAGCACCUCAAAUAUUAAUAUGGAAUCCUGCUGCUAAUACAUUACGCAGUAUACGUGAUCCUACUCAACACUUUUGCACUAUGUGCACAUUCACGUAUGCCUUUCUAUACUAUCCUGGGUCUUCUAAGUAUGCAAUAGUUCAUAUAUUUAAAAGGAAUUUAGGCGAUCAGGAUUCUUGGCUAACCAUGUUUUGUGCUGAAAGCUCCGAUUGGCAAUAUGUUAUUCCUUGUCCCAAGUAUGUAAAGAACUUAGAUCAAAAUUGUGUGACCAGUGAUGGAGUUGCCUUUUGGUUGAGUUGGUCCAUGCAUGACUCAACAUAUCCUUCCUAUAUUGUUUCAUUUUCCAUUGCAAACAAGAGUUUUUUUACUAUACCAAUACCACAUCAUAUAGUGUCACAUGAUCAUCGGCUCUUGAUAUAUCAAGAUUCUCUUUGCAUGGUUUCCAAUAGAGAUACUCGUGAUGGGUAUGAAAUAAAUAUGUUCAGAAUUCUUAAAAAUGGAAUUCACUAUGCAUGGGAAAAGAUUUUCACAUUCACUGGCAUAGGAAGCCUAGAAAACCCUGUUUUGAUUCAUGAAGAAGAACUUAUUUUGUUAAAGAAAACCCACAGAGAGAGAAAUGCACUUAUGCGCCGUCCAGAAACAUCCCAAUUCAUGUUUUUAAGAUUUGAUCCACUAAGUCAACAUAAGAAGAUACUCAAUGCUCCAUUCUAUCUGGGACAUGUACAACUUAUAUCAACGCACGUUUAUUCACAAGGAUGCUUUCCAGUGUGAUCACUUGUGGUUUUAGGCUAGAUGUGUUAGAUGGUACAAUGUGAAGUGUAUUAUUAAAUGUAGCAACUACUAUUUAAAAGACCGUGGCAAGAUCUUAUUUAACUCACAUGUCGCUUAUGAUGCAAAGACAUUAGUGUUUUCCCAGUUUUAAUUAUUUCCAAUGUUAUAUACUAAGUUUAAGUUCAAUGCUAUGUAAUUUAAGUCUUUUUGUGUGUAUUUUAAUAUUCCAAUGAAAUUCUAUUCCAUGAAGUGUAAGUGUGUUGGUUGCCAUUAAGAGUAGUAAAGCUAAAGAGUAGUCUAUAAAAAUUAAGAGCUACUAUUAUAUGUAUUCCGACUAUUAUGCUAGCAUGAACAAAGUAUAUAAUGACUUAAAUUAUUCACUUAUUAAAAUGGAGGUACUAAAAAAAUAGAAAAAAGUGUAUUAUAAAGUCAAAAUUGUGUGAUGGUGAAAACUAUUCUAUUCAAAAUAAAUGGGGUUGUUGCCCCCAGAGCUUUUAUAAAAUCUUUCGGAACAAAAUUAUAUAGAAUAUAAUUAGAAUUCAUUUGGUCAAAACUUUAUACACUAUAUGAAGUAUAUUGUGUUUAAGUCUUAAACUCAUCCGUUUUGACUUCUUUUUUUUUAGCAAAAUUUGUUGAUUAAUGGACUAUUUAUCUUUUCUUCAAGUUGAUUAAAAAAAUGAGCUCUCUUACUAUUUUUCUUCAAUUUCGUUGGACUAAUGCAGUUACUAAAAUAGUCCUUUAUAAAUUAAUUGCUUCAAUAAAACUCAUCAUCAUAAUCAUUAUAAUAAUUAGUUUAUUUAUUUAAUGGUAUUUUAUGUCUCAUUGGUUUUAUUUUAUUUUUUACACAAAAUAUUAUAAUAUUAUUUAACUAUUGCUGUCAUUUUAUUAGUGUAAACUAAUGGAACAUUUUUAUAAUUUACAACUUUUAAAGUUUUAAACUUCCAAACUAGGUUGUAAAUAAUUUUAUUAUAUUUUUUCAUAUAAAUUUUAAAAAUUUUAAUAGUGCUUUUAUAUUUAAUUAAUUUGGUACUAUUUUACGCUGUGUUAGUUUUUGAGUUAAAUUUAAAAAAAAAAUAUUCACAAUACAAUAAGAAUUGUAAUUUUUAGUAUUUAUCGUUCUAACUAAAAAAAUUUAGUUCUUAUUGAAUAAUUGAAUAUUUUAAACCAUGCAGUAUUCGAAAAGUACGAUUUUAAAGCUUUUCAAAAAAAAAUUUGUAUAAAAUUAUGCUUUUAUUAUCAUCUUAGUUACAAACUUAAAAGCAGUUAUUUAUUUAAAUUUUAUUUUUAUAUCAAUAUUUUUUUGUUUUUUCUAUGUUACAAUUUUGGCCCCCCCCCCAGAAAUAUUUUUGAAGUUUUCAUAAUUGCUAGGGCUGGAAUUGAGCCAAGCUGAAAUGAGGUUGAACAGACUGAAGCUCGACUCACACAAAUUGAGAUUGGCUCAAGGCUCAACUCAUUAAUAAUCGAGCCUAUCUCUUAAGGUAAAGGUCGACUCACGCAAAGCUUACGACCUGGCCCAGAUAAAUAGAACAUAAUCUAUACCGUUAUAUCAAUAAAUUAUAACUUAUAUAUUUUUAAAAUAUUUAAAAAUAUCAAUUUCAUAUUGACACCUAUGGAUCAAUUAUAAAUUUUUUAUUUAUAUUAUGCAUCAAAAUUAUAUAUCAAANNNNNNNNNNNNNNNNNNNNNNNNNAAUAUUAAUAUAUAUAUGUGUGUGUGUUUGUGUGUGUAAUUAAAAUUAUAUAUUAAUAUAUGAAUAUAUAUAUACUAUGAAAAGUAGUGUGUGUAAUUAAAGUUAUAUAUUAAUAUAUGAUUAUAUAUACUAUGAAAAGUAGUAGUAUAGAUUAAAAUAUUAAAAUUAUCAUUGAAAUGUUAAAAUUAUCACCGUGUGCCAUCCAUAUUCCAUAUUAUUAUAUAGAUAAAGAAAUUUUCCAAAAACACUUAAUCACCUCUUUGCUAAUUAGCUUUUUGUUAGUGGUGAAAAGAUAAAAAAACUAAUAAUAAUUCUAUUAUCCCUAUGUACAUGCUACCAUCCCAAGAACCUCUAAUGUAGGUAAUGAUGCAACACCUACAAUUUUAGAGAUGCUAUAGUUGCUUGCGCAGUGCAAAAACUCUAAUAUCGAUGCCAUCAUGUCAAUAUACGUAGGAUAGCAACUUGGUUGCAUGCCCAAGCAAUCCUUUCUAUUUGCACAAAUUUUUUGUAUUCUUAGUUAUACCCCUCCUUAUGUUUCUUAAACCAACAUAGAGCAAAUAUGUGGCCAAUCACUAUCGAAAAUCACAACAAAAAAUAUACAAUCAUAACACAUUGAUAAAAUUUAGUUGCUGCCAAGGAGAGCAACCAUACACACUCGAUCCAAACAAACUUCCUUCUAAGAAUACUAUUUCCUGUAACUAUAACCUCACAAAUCAACCUACCUUCAAUGUUUUUUUGUUCAACAAGUAGAUGAAUAAUCAAGUUACCACUCCUUGCAUCUCACAACCAACGCUUCCAAAAGAUCUCAUAUUGGAUAUAAUUUCCAGGUGUGAUCCUGCUACAAUUGGUAGAUGCAGAAUGUUGUCACAUGAAUGGAAAGAAGAACUCACAGGUGAGGCAUUUUUGUGGCGGCAGUACGUAACCUGUUCAACAAGAGAAAAAUCAAUAUUGAUACAAAUUUUCUUUCCUCAUUGGACCGCACAAAACAUCAGAAUAAUUAGGUUAACUCCUACCACAGGUAACAUUUUAUCCAUCCCCUUACUGCCAUACCAACCCAACUAUGGAAACUUUGAUAUCAUUGGAGAACACAACGGGAGCAUAUGUGCUAAAUAUUCAACGUUGGAGCAAAAGGUGGUACUUGUGGUUUGGAACAUGCUAUCCCGAUCAAUGAAACAAAUUCCACAGCUAAAGCAGUUUACUCAUCAUAUGGCAAUCAAUGUGUUUGCAUUUGCAUACCUUCCAAACAGUAUUCAUUAUGUCGUUUGUCAUGCUUUCAAAAAAAACCUUCCUAACAAGUUCCUUUACUAUAGAAUAUAUUCUUCCGCUGAGGCUAAGUGGACAUCGACAUUCGCAUUGGGCGGUGAUAUUGGAAAGAUUGGUCCCAGAUAUGUUGUCUUACAUGGUGAUAUUUUCUGGAUUAAUUUCACUACGGAUGAAUUCCAGGUUGCGAAAAACAUCCUCAUCUUAUCCUUAAAAACACAACAAUUCCAAAUCCUUCCCAUCAGAGAAAGGUACAGAUCUGAUUUCCAAUCACUAAUGAUUUUUGACAAUCAUGUUUGUUUUGCUUCCCACCCGCGACAAGAGGAUAACUAUACUAUAAGUUUGUGGGCUAUUAACAAGACUAAAGAAAACUCCUACACGUGGUCGUCUUUGUUCAAGCUCGGUGGCUUGAGAGUAUAUGAUAAUCCCUUAUUAUUUGUGAGCAAAGAUCUGAUAACGUUAGCGGACGAUAGCAUCCGCACAGGAAGACCUAUAAAUGAGCUAAUUAUGUCAAGCUUUAGAGAAGAGGUUCAGUAUGAAAGGAGAAUUUUGAAAUACAAAAUUUGGGGCCAGGAAGUUGAGCUGAAAUUCAUCACAGAAUAUUGCUAUGGGUUGUUCCCUGUUUAAUGCACUAAAAAAUAAAAUAUUUUGAUUAUUCGUGUCAUCUGUGUUGUUAAAUUCUUGCUAUUUGUAUAUUGUGAUACCACUGGGUAUGUAAGUAUGUAACCAUACAAUGAGAUGUACUAAGGUGCUUAAUAUAUAAGCAUAUUAAACCAAUAAUGAGCUCAUGUUAAAGAAGUCUAAAUUAAAUGACAAAGUUUUACCAAUAUUUAAAAAAUCGAACCGAUCAUCAAACCGAUUUCAUUAUUGAUUCAUUUGUUUAGCGGUUCAACCACUCCAACCGUGGUUCAAUCAAUAUUAAUAUUUUUUAAUCAAAUAAUAUAUAAAAUUAUAAAUGAAUAUAGAAAAAUUUAAUUAUAAUCUAAUACAUAUUUUAAAAAAUAUGCAAAUUAAAGGUACAAGUAACUUAUAAUAAAAAUUUAAUCUGGAUAUAUUAGUAAAGUAAUUAUAAUAGUUUUGACAAUCAACGCUUAAAAUUCAAUUAAUUCAAAAGAAAAUAAAAAAAAUUAUUUUGAAUGUUUUGAAACUUAAUUGAAACCUAAAUUGAAUAUUAAACAAUUAAAACUACUCAUUCAGAUGUUGAGAGAUUGAAUUUAUUUAACUAGACUUCAAUUAAAUUAUAUUGAAAUAAAUUUAAUAUUUUAAUGUUAUAAAUAUUGUGGAAUAAUAUAACCAAAAAAAUAAGUAUAAUNCUUUUGAAAAAACACAAAAUAGUUAUUGAUUAUAUGAUAUUAUAUAAUUAAUAAAAUAAGAAACACUACCACCAAGUUUACUAAAUGUCACGUGAAUAUGUAGUGAAGGAGUCCAUGUGUGGUUAAUAUAGUCAUAUACUCAAUGAACUCCCCAAUAUAUGUACCCACGUCUAGCUAAUCUUCUCAAGAUAGGACAAGUCACAUCAAAUAGUCAAUAAGACAAUUUUCUACCUCCAAAAGUGGAGGGAUCUAUCCAAGACAGAUAGCUUCACACCUUUGGUCUCAAGGUUAGGAUUCUCAAAACUCAUUAAAAAAAUUCGCACAAAGUUAGAUUCAUAGAAAUUUUUUUUUUCCACACUACAUUGCUAAAGUUUCACAUAUCUUUGAACUUGCAGAUUCCUCUAAGGACUAACACAACACUAUUGUGCAUAUUGUUGGAAUACUAUGGAUCUAUACAAUGCAAAGGAAGCAAGGAAACACAGGCAUCUUAUCCUGGCUGAAAAGAGGAGGAGAUUAAGCGAAGACGGGCAAAAAGGUAUCUUAAAUCUUAAUCUGAACUUUUUAUUCAGGUAUAAUCAUCUAUUCAAAAACAUGUCCGACUAAUAUUGAAUUGAUUUGCAGAAAAUCUUUGCCUCCAGAACUGGCCAAAUACUACUACGAAGGGUUCACUUCAUACGCUUCAGGAAAAGUUGACAUCCCUCAAAAGGAAGCCACUCACACCAAACUUCACAGGCAUGUUUUAAUUGUUGUGCUCCAGCUAUGUAACAUUCAAACUAGAAGCCUUUUCAUGUAACUCAAAAAAUGUGGUUUAUAUUUUAGUUUGUAGUACUAAGGCAAGAGGUCAAAUCCAUAGAAAUAAUACAUGAAGUUGCUAUAUUUUUUUAUGAUGUGUCUUGCAAGAGUAGAUGUUAUCAUGUGAAUAGGAAAUAUAACUCAGCAUAUACAAUAAUACAGGACAACAAAGUGAUCCUAUAACUGCACACACAUCACUUGGCAAGACAAUCAGUUCAAACAGAGCAACAGAGCAACAUACUAUCUGUGUAGUUCACAGGCAAAAUAAUGCCACCCCAGGUGAUUCCUUUAUCUACUUAUUGAACCAAAUGAAACUAAAUACCAUUAAAACUUCAGUCAUUCACACAUUUUCAUAUAAUUACCGAACAACGUUCCUUGCAUGCUUUAGUUUUCCGUCCAACUCAUGCUCGGGAACAAUCCGAACAUCUGUCGGAUUCAAUUCAAUGUGUUCAAUGUCUCAACAUGGGAGAACCGCAUCAUGAAACGCAAUCAACCACAACUAACAAUCAUAUUGCUACACCAGCCAUAGUGGAAGAUCGAUCAAUCAGAGCUAAGAAAGGUUUGAUAUCAAGUCAUAAUAGCAAAUAUCAUACGUAUCUGCAUUAUGCGUAGGCUGCAUGAACGCAUGACAAAUCACUUUCAUGAAUUGGAUAAUUCUUUUAUCGCUAAUUAAUUUGGCAUAAUUUUUUGCUCUGUUAGUGUUUUAAUUAAAUUGUCUCUAAAAAAUAUAGUCAAUGUUCAAUAAAUAUAAAAUUUUUUAAUAUUUAUCAUUCUAACUAAGAGAAAUUUAGUUCUGGUGUAAUUGUUGACUAUUUUAAACCAUUCAAGACUCCAACAGUACUAUUUUAAAAUAUUUUAUAAAAUUAUUCAUUUAUUAUCAUCUCAGUGACAAACUCUAAAAGCCUGUUUUCGAAAAUUUUGUUUCUAUAGAAAUAAUACAAUGUAUUUUCUAUGUUAAAGUUUUGCCUUCCUCGAUAAUAUUUUUGAACUUUCGCCACAGUGCAUUAAGGUACCACAUAUUACAGGCAAAAAUUAUCAUUAAUUUUGGUUUUAUAUCAAUUUAAAAACAAAUAAUCUGCUUCUUAAAAAUUACAGCGAGUGCACGACGAAAGUUUACCCAUCCCAUACAAGGACCAAGUAAAAACAUGAGGACAGCUGAAACAGUUCGAGAAGAAGAUGAAGUAGGUGCGUAACUGAAAUUUAUGAAACAAAGUCAUUAUUUUUGGUAUUCAAACAAAACAACGUAUUUGUCGAACCUAACAUCAUACUUUAAAACAAAUAAUCUUCUUCUUAAAAAUUACAGUGAGUGUACGAGGAAAGUUUUUCCAUCGCAUACAAGUACCAAGUCAAAACCUUCAGACAGAUGAAACAGUUGGCGAAGAAGAUGAUGCAGGUGCGUUAAUGAAGUCUAUGGAACAACAUUAUUAUAUUUUAUUGUAUUAAAACAAAAAAAUAUAGUUGUGGAAAAUGACAUGAUAUUUUAAACUAUUAGGUUGCCCAAUUUACAUAGUAUACACAUAUUAGAACCAGAGUUAUGCAAGUUCCUUCAUUACUCUGCAGCUACUUUUUUAGUUAACUUUAUUUAGUUUGUUGUUUUACUAUAAAUCUAUUCAUUCUAACAGUUCCCAUGCUACAUGAUAUACAUGCAAUGGCAGAGCUUAGUGUGCACGAUGGGGGACCAUGGCCCCCAAAGUUUUUAUAGCAUCUUUAGUAAAUAAAUUAUAUAGAAUAUAAUUAGAGUUCAGAUCACAAAAUUUGUGUGCACUGUACUAAGUGUCUUGUGUUGGAGUCUUAAAGUCUUCCAUUUUUACUAUGCUUUUUGUUCAAAUUUGUACAUUCAUCAGCUAUCUAUUCUUUCUCAAAGUUGGUACAUUAAUGGGCUAUCUUACAAUUUUUCUUCAAAUUCGUCGGACUAAUUCACUAACUAAAAUGGUCUCUUAUAAAGUAUUUGAUACAACAAAAUUCAUCUUCAUAAUCAUUAUGAUAGUUACUUUAUUUUUUUAUGCUAUUUUAUUUCUUAUUGGUUUUAUUUUUUUUUACGCAAAAUAUUUAAAUAUUCUUUAACUAUUGGUGUGAUUUUAUUAGCAGUAGACUAAUGGAGAAUUUUCAUAAGUUACAACUUUUACAUUUUUAAUCUUUGAAAAUCAUUUCUCCGUAAUUACAUUUUUUUGUAUCAUCUUUAAGAAAUUGAAUUAUUAUUUUAUCUGUAAUUAAUUUGGUGAUAUUUUUUGCGUUGUUAGUUUUUUAAUCAAAUUGUUUCUAACACAUAUAUUUAAUGUUCAAUAAAUAAUAUCAUUUUUAAUAUUUAUCAUUCUAACUAAAAGAAAUUUUGUUUCGGUUUAAUUAUUGAAUAUUUUAAACCGUUCAAUACUUCAAGAGUACUAUUUUAAAUUAUUUUAUACAAAUAUUCAUUUAUUAUCCUCUUAGUGAAAAACUUGAAAAAGUUGUUGUCGAAAAUUUUGUUUCCGUUUACAUUAAAAUUAUGUAUUUCCUUUGUCAAAGUUUCAGCCUCCUAAAAAAUAUUUUUGAAGUUCUGCCACAGUGUGUUAAGCUACCACAUAAUACAAGUGAAAAUUAUCAUUAUUUUUUGUUUUAUAUUAACUUAAAAAAAAGUAAUUUGCUUCUUAAAAAAUUGCAGCGAGUGCACGAGGGAAGUUUGCCCAUAGCAUACAAGUACCAAGUCAAAACCUUCAGGCAGAUGAAACAGUUCAAGAAGAAGAUACAGCAGGUGUGCACCCAAAAUUUAUGGAACAGCACCAUUAUUUUUGGGUAUUAAAACAAAACAAUGUAUUUGUGGAACUUAAUAUCAUAUUUUAAACUAUGAAGUCACCCAACUGAUAGAAUAUUCAUUAAUUAGAUGCAGGCCAAGCAGAACAACAUUGUGAUGAUGACAAUGAACUUGAAGAGAUCACUGAAGGUAGUAUUGCAUUUAGUCAAUCUGAUUUUUAUACCAAGCCGAAACCGUUAUAACCAUAACAUGUGUUAGCUAUUUUAGAAGUCUCAUAUCUUGACUUUGGCAACCCUGAUUAUCAAUGCCAACAUUGUGGAGCCACAUUCUGGUAUGAAGAACGCCUAAACAAGCACUGUCAUGAGAGAGUUCCAAAAUUUGGCCUCUGUUGUCGUCAAGGGCAGGUGGAAUUACCGGUACUCCAACAACCUCCGGAAAUUCUUCAUCAGUUACUAUCAGGUUGUGAUGAAAAAUCCAUCCACUUUCAGAAGAACACCCGUACAUACAAUAGUAUGUUUGCUUUCACGUCUUUCGGCGGAAAGAUUGACAGAUCCAUUAACCACAGCAAAGGACCGCCAACAUUCCUACUUCAUGGCCAAAACUAUCAUUUGAUGGGUAGUUUGUUACCACAAGAGGGAAGUCCUGCCAAAUUUGCACAACUAUAUAUUUAUGACACACAGAAUGAAAUCAACAAUAGAACUGCUGUUGUUAGGUACCUAACCAUGACAAAGCUACAUUCCAAAAAAAAUGAUUGGAACCUUAAGUGACAAUUUAUAGUUAAUAAUCAUUAUGUUGUUUGAACUGCAGCUCUGAUAACAGCACAGAUCAUCUAGACAAAACCAUUGUGGCUGACCUUAUGAAGAUGCUUGACACCCACAACGUGCUGGCAAAGACAUUCCGAAUGAUGCGCGAAGUUAUGAAAUCCAAUCCAAUUCGCGAUAUUCGACUUAAAUUGAUUGGAAAGCGAGGCAAGGAUGGAAGACGGUAUAAUUUGCCGUCUGUUGAUGAGAUUGCAGGGUUGGUGGUGGGAGAUUUUGAUGCGUCAAUGAAAGAGAGAGAUAUCAUUGUUGAAACGAGAUCAGGAGCACUACAGCGAGUUUCAGAACUAAAUCCAUCAUACUUGGCACUACAAUAUCCUCUGUUGUUUCCAUACGGGGAAGAUGGUUGGCGUGAAAAUAUUCCAUUGAAUAGGCCACAAAAAAAUACAAAUGCUGAAGAUGCAAACAUUAGUAUGCGGGACUUUUUUGCAUUCCGAGUUCAGCACAGACAAUCAUGCAAAGGUGCUUUACUAUAUUCUAGGCGUCUGUUUCAGCAAUUCCUGGUCGAUGCAUUCUCAAUGGUUGAAGCAGCAAGAUUGAAAUACGUCUAUACGAAGCAAAAAAAGCUAAGAGCUGAAAUUUACAAGGGCCUUAGAGAUGCAGUUCUUAAUGGAGAAACAGAAGCAGCCUCGCUAGGCAAACGCGUUGUCCUACCAGCAACCUUUACUGGGGGAGCCAGAUACAUGAUACAAAAUUACCAAGAUGCUAUGGCAAUAUGCAGGUCUAUUGGGUAUCCAGAUUUGUUCAUUACAGUUACCUGCAAUCCUCAAUGGGAAGAGAUUCAACGUUAUUGCAAGGAGAAUAAUCUAAAGCCAGAAGAUAGGCCUGAUACUGUUUGCAGAUUAUUUAAGGCAAAGUUGGACAAGUUGAUUAAGGAUAUUCACAUAAACAAAUUAUUCGGAAAGUCGACUGCAGGUAACAUGCAAGAAAGUUUGUUUAAUCAUAACAACAUUUCAUGCUAUUUAAGUACAGGUUAACUAACAUAUUGCAAAUUGUUUCGUUGCAGUUAUAUACACAAUUGAGUUCCAAAAGCGUGGAUUGCCUCAUGCACACAUAUUAUUGUUUCUCGCUGCUCAAGAUAAGUUUCCUGCUCCUGAAGAUAUUGACAGGAUUAUUUCAGCUGAGAUUCCGGAUCCAACUUUGGACCCAAAAUAUUAUGAAGCAGUAAAGAGUCAAAUGAUGCAUGGUCCAUGUGGUAUUGCUAGAAAAAAUUCGCCUUGCAUGGAUAAUGGACGUUGUUCUCGACAUUUUCCGAAGAAGUUUAUUGAAUUUACGACAGUAGAUCAUGAUGGAUAUCCAGUUUAUAGGCGUCGCAAUGAUGGCCGAACGAUUGACAUUUCUGGAAUUCCUCUAGACAAUCGUUAUGUGGUGCCGCAUAAUCGAUACUUGCUGUUAAAAUAUGGAGCUCAUAUCAAUGUUGAAUGGUGCAAUCAAUCGCGUUCCAUAAAAUAUCUCUUUAAGUAUGUUAACAAGGGAAGUGAUCGAGUGACAGCUUCUUUUUAUUCAAGUUCAAACGACAAUAAUCCCACUGUUAAGCCUGUUGAUGAGAUUAAGUUGUUUUAUGAUUGCCGGUAUAUUUCUCCAUGUGAAUCUGCAUGGAGAAUAUUUGCUUUUAAUAUUCACUAUCGAAAGCCAUCAGUUGAACGAUUGAGCUUCCACUUACCAGAUGAGCAGACAGUGCUCUUUGCAGACGAAGAUGACUUGUCAACUACUAUAAAUAAAGCGACAGUUCGAGAAUCUAUGUUUGUCGCGUGGUUCAAGGCAAAUAAAAAAUACGAGAUUGCAAGACAGCUAACUUACAAUGAGUUCCCAAGUAAAUUUGUUUGGAAGCGCAAUGCCAGGAUAUGGGAACCAAGGAAAAGAAAUGCUGUUAUUGGAAGGCUCUUUUUUGUCCCUCCAACAUCUGGAGAAUUAUACUAUCUUAGAAUGUUGUUAAACAUUGUUCAGGGUCCAACAAGUUAUAAAGAUCUUAGAACAUACAGGGAUAUUGUGUACUCAUCAUUUAGAGAUGCAUGCUAUGCAAGAGGCUUAUUAGAUGAUGAUCAAGAAUACAUCGAUGCCAUUGAAGAAGCAAGCCAUUGGGGAUCUGGUCAUUAUUUACGGAAGCUUUUUGCAACUCUAUUAUGGUCAAACUCAAUGGUUCGGCCAGAAGUCGUAUGGAGCAAGUGCUGGACUUUGCUAGCUGAUGGAAUUCUUCACAAUCACAUGAACAUGUUUCAAUUACAAGGUUUUGUCUUAAACUAUUAUUAAUCAUGAAACAUGUUAUAUCUUGCUUGCAUCUCAAUCACCAACAUUGAUUACGAAUUACUUAAAUAUAUAUUAUCAUUAUUUGAGUUUUCUGGGAAUAUUACCAUGCUUAUUUGUACAAUAGUCUAUAAUACUAUAUCAUAUGGUAUCUAACUUUAUAGUUCAUUAUAUACAAUACAGAUAUGGUUUUGACAGAUGACGAGUUAUCUCAGUUGACUUUACUUGAGAUAGAAGAAAAUCUUAAUCACAAUGGCAAAUCAUUGCGAGAUUUCCCAACAAUGCCAUUUCCCAAUAUCAAGAUAACUCAAUCUGUAAGAGAAGGUGCCUCCCGGAACAAACUAAUCAUGGAUGAGCUUCGUUAUGAUCGACGUUCAUUGGCUCAGCAAUAUGAAAAUUACUUACUACAAAUGACGACAGAGCAAAGACAUGUGCAUGAUCAGAUCAUUAACGCAGUUAACUCGAAUUGUGGCCAAUUAUUUUUCUUAUAUGGACAUGGUGGCACUGGGAAGACAUUCAUUUGGAAAACUCUUGCAGCUGGACUUAGAUCAAAAGGUGAAAUUGUGUUAGCAGUGGCUUCAAGUGGUAUUGCAUCUCUUUUAUUGCCUGGAGGCAGAACAGCNNNNNNNNNNNNNNNNNNNNNNNNNNNNNNNNNNNNNNNNNNNNNNNNNNNNNNNNNNNNNNNNNNNNNNNNNNNNNNNNNNNNNNNNNNNNNNNNNNNNNNNNNNNNNNNNNNNNNNNNNNNNNNNNNNNNNNNNNNNNNNNNNNNNNNNNNNNNNNNNNNNNNNNNNNNNNNNNNNNNNNNNNNNNNNNNNNNNNNNNNNNNNNNNNNNNNNNNNNNNNNNNNNNNNNNNNNNNNNNNNNNNNNNNNNNNNNNNNNNNNNNNNNNNNNNNNNNNNNNNNNNNNNNNNNNNNNNNNNNNNNNNNNNNNNNNNNNNNNNNNNNNNNNNNNNNNNNNNNNNNNNNNNNNNNNNNNNNNNNNNNNNNNNNNNNNNNNNNNNNNNNNNNNNNNNNNNNNNNNNNNNNNNNNNNNNNNNNNNNNNNNNNNNNNNNNNNNNNNNNNNNNNNNNNNNNNNNNNNNNNNNNNNNNNNNNNNNNNNNNNNNNNNNNNNNNNNNNNNNNNNNNNNNNNNNNNNNNNNNNNNNNNNNNNNNNNNNNNNNNNNNNNNNNNNNNNNNNNNNNNNNNNNNNNNNNNNNNNNNNNNNNNNNNNNNNNNNNNNNNNNNNNNNNNNNNNNNNGCAGGACUUUGUAAUGGCACAAGAUUAGUCAUCACUAAAUUAGGAGAAAAGAUUAUUCAAGCAGAGGUGUUAUCAGGAGACAACGCUGGUGACAAAGUUCUCAUUCCUAGGAUGACUUUGACUCCCUCUGAUGUAAGAUUACCCUUUAAAUUUCAACGGAGACAAUACCCACUGAUACUGUCCUACGCCAUGACUAUUAAUAAAAGUCAAGGACAAUCUUUAAAUCAGGUUGGAUUGCUUCUUAAACACCCUGUCUUCACACAUGGGCAGCUUUAUGUUGCCGUCUCGCGCGUCACAAGUAAAAAUGGUUUGAAGAUUGUGAUCUCACAUGAUGAUUCAAACAACUCAACUGAAACAAGGAAUGUGGUUUAUUACGAAGUCUUUAGGAACAUUUCAUCUCAUUCUGAAAAUGCAUACUCUAUUGACUAAAUAAUCAGGUAACAUCAAACCUUCCAGAUUACCAUAUUACAACUAUCGUAUUCAAAUUUACAAUCCCAUUUCUAUAUAUGUCUUUCUAUAUCUAUAUUGUUAUCUUAGGUCAACUACAUCUAAUAUUUUCUUCUAUCGAUAAUAACAAUUAGCCCUUAAUCCUACAUUCUAUAAAGCUAUCUUCAUAACUUCACCAAUAAUUUACGAAAGUAAUUGCAUAUAAAAAUUGUCACUUUUCAUGUAUCCUCUGUUUUUGACAUUUCUAACAAAAAAAAAAGUAACCUUUCUCAACAUGCUAAAAACUCAUUGUUGAUAUCAUUUCAGGGGAUGGCCUGUUUACACAACUUCAGAAGUUCAUUUUGAGCAAACCAUGUAUGAUCUCUAUGUCUAUAAAUAUAUUUAUCAUUUUUAAUAUUAGGUUCCAUAUAAUGGAUUCAUUAUACCUUUGGAAUCACUUGCAAAAACAACUCAUCCAACCAACUUCUUUCACAAAUAUUCAUGACAAAUAUGAAAUGCGUCGAUAAUUGAUCAAACACUAACACGCACACAAAUAUUUUCUUAUCAUAAAUUGUGUCUAUUAAUACAGCCAUAACGACAAACUCAUUGUAUAAAUAAUUCCCAAUUAUGACCUACACAUAUUGUCUAAUCUAUUACUCCAUUAUAAUUAUAUGGCAUUAAUGCUUUGCAAUGUACUACAUCGCAAGCUUAUCAUCUUCAAAUUAACCCUAAUAAAUAUUAAAAUUAAGUUUCAAACUUUGUUAUUCAUACUCACACAUGUCGAUACAAAUUUUGCCAAUACGAAGCAUUACUUCUUCCAUGUUUACCGCGCGGAGGCGCGGGUGGACAGCUAGUNCAUGUCGAUACAAAUUUUGCCAAUACGAAGCAUUACUUCUUCCAUGUUUACCGCGCGGAGGCGCGGGUGGACAGCUAGUAUGUAUAAUAGUCCCACAGUGGCACAUCGGUAGAGAGAAAACGAGGGUUGAUAUGAAUGAUAAUCAUCGGUAUAAGGGCUCGUAUAUCUGCAUCUUUGUGACCAGAGCGUGAUUAAUAGUGUAACGAUUAGUUCUUGUAUUAACACAAUUAUCCAAAAAUACAUGUAAUUAUUGAUAUUGAUUAUUAGAUAUGACUCAGAGAAAAGGGAGUGCCAUUUUAUGAAAAGGACUAAGAGUCAAAAUCAGUGUGUUUUUUUUAACAAACUAUGCACACAGGGUAUGAAUAAAUAAAAUGUCGUGGAUUUAGAUGAGAAUUAAAACUGAAAACUAAUCGAUUGCUAAUUUCAUGCUGUUGUUCACUUCAUUGAGCAUCAAUGCUGUUCCCUAACCAUACUUCUCUGUGCCCAAGUUAUUUGAGACUUGAGAACUAAACACAUGUACAUAUCAGACAUAGUGUUAGAGAGAAGCAUCGGCAGGGUUCAACACACAUUUUUAAUUUGCGCAUGCAUUUUAAUCAGGCAACAAACAGAAUUACGGAGAAACAAAAUCUUGCCUUGCCUGUAUCUAAUGUGGUUAAAUUUUAAGAUUUUCUGAAUUUCGAAAGAGUAAGCUUAGUCUUACAUUGGCAGCAUUCACCUUCCAGAAGUAGGUUUUAUAGCUAAACCCACAAGCAAUGGGCACGACCUUACUUGAACAGGAUCUGUUCUAUAGGCUCGUACAGCUGUAUCCUUGAGUUCUUAAGGAGACAGGAACCAAAGUCUGGUGGAUGAACAAUGACCGUGAGAUCAGAGCGUGAUUAAUACUUCAGUUGCGUGCCAGCUGGAUGUUGGAGGAUCGUACUUGCCAUGACCUUGUGGUCAAGAUGGUCUCACGGUGUUCUGACAGACCCAAAAUUUCUUUUUUUAUAUUUUUUCGACAAAGCAGAGACAGUGUCGUUCAAUAAUUCCGCCAUCCAUUGACAAUAAGAUGUAGAGCCAGGUAAAAAAUUAAAAAUAAAAGCAGAUGUCGUUGCAUUCUGCCAUGGAAACUUUGCAUAAUGAAGUAGAACGGGGACCAAAAAAAUUUGGACCAUUUCUCGAUUUGUGCGUGUCAUCCUUGCGCAGGGGCCAUGCUAAUCUUCUCUGUAUCGUUCCAAUUUUAUCGGAUGUCCCCGAAGGGACGAGCCCCUUUGUCUGCCUCUGAUAUAUAAAUUAUUGGUUUCUUAAAAUUCGGGCGAUGUGAGACUUGUUUGCCACUGAGAGCAGCUGAAGAAUAUCAACGAGUUCUCAACCUCUCUUUAUGGAAAAUGAAGGAGGGGAUACAACUAGUUGUCUGAUUUCUGUGUUUUCAUUUUGGUGGUUCUGCCUUGUUGGUUGUUGCAUGCAUAGCCAUUUCAGGUUAUCCUUCUUUUAUUCCUACUGCUCUCAAUUUUCUAUGAAUGAACAAGACAAAUUAGUAGCUAGAGAUGAAUGGAAUGAAAAGACUAUAAUCAACAGAAAUUGUUCUCCAAUAACUAACAUAAGGAACUUCAAAUUAUCUUAUAAAUAUAAUGAAACCUGAAAAUUUUCACAUAAUAAAACAAUCAAUUUAUUUACGAAUGUACACCACUGCCAAUGUGUCUCACCAGGAACAAUCAAGAUCUGACUCAUGCUAUAAAGUGCUUAAUUUGUUACUAGACUAAAAACGUUAAACCGUUUUAUGGGACAAUAAGUCAUAAGAGUCACAGACGAAGAUCAAAACAGUCAUCAUAAUAAUAAUCGAAUGCAACAUAAAACAAUUUGAAGGUCUUUAUUCUUAUUUUUUUAUUUUCUCUUACGAUCUUUUUAUUAUACUUUUUUGUUUUUUGUGCGGUGCUGUUCUUACACAUUUUGGUUUACUGUUUUGGUACUUUUACCGUCUGUUAUGUCUAUUUUUGUUUUUUUAUUUACUCUUAUUGUCAUGCUAUUUUCUUUUAAUUUCUUUUUUAUUUUGGGUUGUCUUGUUUUAUAUUUUAUUUUCUAUUGUCUAAGGUACUUCUUUUGGUAAUUUGGUACGAGGUACUUUAGAUGGUCUAAGUAAGUUGGUGGUGUAUUUGGAAAUGUAAUCUUCACUGGGACUUUGAGCAUUUUAGAUCUCUCUAUCUCUCUCUUAUGUCAUUAGGAUUCUCUUUUUGUUCUUCCAUCUCCCAUUGGCACUAGAAUUCUAUCUCUCAAAUCUUUAAUACGGUUUAAUAAUAUAAAAUAUCAUCGAUCAAAAUCAUUAAUUUAUUUUACACAUUUUUUCCUAAUUUAAUAAACUUUUUAACUGUUUAUACAAUUAUGAAAUUGGAUAAUGUAAUAACUUCUAUUUCAAAAAUGUCAACAUUUAACAAUACGUAAUGAGUUAUCAUGUAAUAUUAAAUCCUUUUAUUUUGUAAUAAAUAUUAAAUAGUUGGAAUUGAUAAAUAUGUUAUAAAUUACUUAUCACAAUAAAUAAAAUAAAUAAAUUAUUGUAAUAUAUAACAGAAAGUGGAGACAUCAAAUUUGAUCAAUCUAAUGUUGACACAAAGUACCAUAUCAUACUACGUCCAUGUUCAAACGAUUUCAUUUUAUUCCGUUUCUCCAUACAAAAACAUCGAUGCUAAAACUGAUCUACAAGUUAUAUAAAAAAUACGAAGGCCAGAGUGAUUCACGGGAUCUUGAAAGUGCUAAGGUAGUAGAAUAAAUGAAAACUCUUCCAUUUUGGGAUGGUGGAGGAUGCUAUUUUACAAUUUGCAUCAACCAGGUCAUUCUUUAACCUUUUGGAACGCAGAACACUAACAUGAUUUGUAUCAAGAGGAAUCAUCAAAUUAGACAUCACCGGAAUCUUCUGAAUCUGAAACAUCACCAGAAUCAAUCAUCCUCUCAAGUGCAUCCAUACUGCCAUGAUCAGAGACGGUAUGUAUCCGGAGUUUAUCGGCAUCUUCACUGAGAAAAGAAAGGAAAACCAAGGAACAAUAUUAGAUCAUAUUUAAUAGGUGUUUCGAGUUCAAUUUUAUUACACAGUCCUGUGUGCAUGGAAAAAUGCUGAAAUAGAUUUAUGCAAAAUGCUGAUAGAAAUACCAAGUUCACUAAGAAACAUUUAAGAUAAAAAAGAAAAAGAAAAAGAAAAAAAAGUAAUAAGCAUGGUUUUAAUUUGCAGUCUACAACCGCAAUGCAAUGCCAACUGCAUCCCAUUGCAGCGGCGAUUGUGGCUGUUUCACAUAUGUUUUCGCCCAAUUUUCCACAAUGCAGUCCAACCACAAUUUACAACCGCAGUUAGAAGUAAUAUGUUAUACAAUGGCUCUUCGCACUUUGUAAUUCAAGUUAUGACGUAAAAGACCCGUAACAUUUAAGCAUGUAAAACAUACUCUGUAACUCCGAAGAUUUCCUUGACGACUAAGGAACUAUCUCUUGAACAGAACUCCGGCAGCUGGAACGAAUAACAAAACUAAUUCAAUAAACUCAUAACCCAACAAAACAUACAAAAUUACAAGUAUGAAUAUUAGAUAUUAUGUAAUAAAGUAUUAGAAAACUUCAGAUAAACAAUUACAUUAUCCUCAAGUUGAAAUUUGACGAUAUAUACCCAAGAAUAUUUACAUAGCCAGAAAAUUUCGACUCAAUUUCGCUAGAAGUUGUCAAUAAUAAGGAUUUCUUGUUGAAUAAAUCAAAGGGGAGGAGGAGACCACUCAUCCAUCUAAUAGUCAUUAACAAUGCAAACUCAUUCUUGCUAAAAUUCUAUGACUAGAGUUUGGCCAAUCUAAAUAGAAGAUAAUGAGUCAACACCAGCAGGUUGAAAAUGAAGACUCUGAAAGAUACAACCUCUUCUUUAUCAACCUUUACUUAUUGGGCUAUCCUGACAUCUAUGAUAUCUACUCUUUUCUCCUAGACUCUUUUAGGUACCUAUAUCUGGCAACUUUAAAGCUACUCUACUGCACAAAACCACUUCCUUGUAUGACAGUUUGCAUGUCAUGUGUAUUAUAAGUUUACAACAAAAACUAAUGAGCAGAAUAAUCAAAUAGAGGAAUUUAUAAAGAGCCAAAUUUAAUAUAUAUAUAUUACUGAACAAUCGUAAUUAAACCUCAGUAUUAUCGGGACCUAAUAAUUGUUGAACAAGUAAUUGUUCAUCAUUAUUUAUUUGUGAUCUCUCUUUUUUCUGGUUCUUAACCCUAAAUAACUGAAUAUAUAAAUCUUAAACAUAGAUUAUCGAAGGAAUUGUUUACAUUUUUUCAUGAUUGGUUUCCUUAUUCAGUUACAACUAGGACUUUGGUAUUGGUAUUGGUAUUAGUAUAUAUGGGGUAAGUGCUUUUUAUUUUGUAUCUGAUCAGAGAUCACCAUCAAUAAUUCAAUAUAAAUUGAGAACAUCAUUUUGAGUGUCUAUCCUCUCUUUCCUUCUUCCCCACCUCAACCCUUAACUUUAAGGUCAUGGAACCAAUGUAAAGGUCAGUACCCAAUAGUACAAGGGAACAUUGGCACUGAACACUAAUCACAUUUUGUGCACAGCAAACUAAAUUUGUAUCAAAUUGACUGUGCAGACUUACCUCAGAUAGAUAGAAGACCUUUCCAAAGAGGGCUUGUACUGCUAAUUUUCUCUUGAAACCCCUUUCAGUAUAGCCUGCUUUCUCCAUCACAACAGGACCUAAAAAUAAUUCAAAUGUAAUGUAAGUAGAGAACAGAUAUAAUGAUGUCCUAACAUAGAACAAUGUAAUUUAGUAAAAAAUGGGCAUAAACGAAUGAUGUUAUGCCAUAAAUGAUAUGAAAUAAGGAGAAGUUAGGGACACCACUUCUCUCUCUCAAAAUAAGUAUCUGUUUUUUCUGACUUUCAAGGUUGCUAUUAUUUCAAAGCAUGUAAGAUUUGAAUACAAAUUUAACAGUAGUGGCAAACCUGUUUCAGAAGAAAACAAGGGUAUGUUUAAAACCCAAAUAUUCUACUUACUGAAAAACAGAAAUGUGGAUUAUAGAAUUGUAACUUCAUAUUAAUAUUGUUUUCAAAUUUGAAGUCCAGCUCAUGCUUCAAAGAACCAGAUAGCAAGGUUAUAAUAAAGGAUGAGAAAUGGAAUACUAAAGCCACUACAAGUCUACAACUAAUUAUCAAAACAUAGUUGCACUAAAGAAUCACUUCAUAGAACCAAAUUGUGGUAUGUUGAACACCCAUAAAAAUUAAUAAAAGUGAACUUAAACUGCAGAUAGGUUUGACUAAGCAGGACUAGAGCUAGGCCUACCUCAGUUAGGCACAAUAGAAAGUGAUCCUUUUUUCAUGAGUCAAGCUUGGCUCACUCCAAGCUUACAAUUUACUUGAGCUCAAUCAACCAAGUUUCACCAAUUUAGACCUCUAGGCUCAAUGACUUGAGCUCGUUAAACAUGAUCCUAGUUGAUUGAAGAACCGAUCAUGAGGCAAGCUCUGAGCAACUACAAGCCACUUGAACUCAUUGCAAACCCCAGAUACAGUAGACUCAUGCAAAAAUUCAUUUUGGUUUUCAAUUAACCAUCAACCAGAUUAAGUGCAGCCAAAUGCUCAGUGAAUUAAUUUUAUUAAGAAUAGUGAUGGAAUUUCUGGCCAAGAGGAAAGCUUAUUUAUAUAUCUAGGGAUGUGUAUAAUAUUUUACUCAAAAAUCAGUCAAGUAAUUCCUAUUAAAAGAUAUUCAAAUCUAUGAUAUAUAAAUUAUCUUCAGCAACAAAAAAAAUUAUAAUUUUAUUCAAUAAUGUUUAUUAAGUUAAUGUUUAUGCAGGAGGAUAAUAGGAAAAUGGGCUGGUGAGGAAUUGGCCAAGGUUACGUGAGUUUAUGCAAGGAGAAAGAAAGAUGCAUCAAGGGAUAAAGAGGGAAAUGAAAUGCAUAAAGCAGUGGAUACCAUGGCAGUUUGGGAGACGGAGAGUGACUGAAUAAACAUGCAGCAGAAAGCAAGAGAUUAAAUAAUGAUGGAGGUGAAAGCAGUGUCAAAGCAGAUCUGGAACUCAAUUGGGUGACUUAAGCCAUAAUGAGUAAGCGAGAGUAAUGCAAGGAACAACGGAAGGCUUAUGUGGUCAACUAGUUAAUGAAACUUAUAAACUAAUGGCCAGAACCAGUUUCAACAAGUAAUUUGGCAGAAGGCCAGUCAUACCUUACGGCAAACAAAUCAAAGGGAAAUUCACACAAUAUCAAAUAAAAUUUCUCCGAAUUAUUUUAUGAGCUAGUUACCUAAACAUCUUACAAGUAACAUCUAAAUGUCAAAAAGCCCAGAAGGUAAUUAAGAAUUUUAAUUUAUGUUUUUGCACUUCCAGCAUUCAAAAUCUUUCGAAUUAAGCCACCAGAAUCAUGCUACCAGUGAGUGGUUUUGCUAGUUUAAACUUUAAAGGUCAAACACUCAUAGGUUCAAGAUAUUUUACAUCCACUAUACUAAAACACAAUACCAUUGGAUUUUGGAAUAAUGUAUAUCCAUGCUACCAAGCACUAAGACUACUCAAAAAAAUAUUGUCAAAUGUUGAGAAUGUAUUACCUUUAUCUCGCACAAUUCGUCGUGAAAUUUCAUUUAGAAUCUCAGCAACUUGUGAAUCAUUUAACAUAGAAGCACUCCUUAACUGAAUUAAAUCAGCCACCAUGUCAGGGUUGAAUGGUUUUUCAUUCAAAGCAUACCGGAUAUACUUGCGCAAAAUUUCUUCCAGAUCAAAACCUGUCUGAAUACAAAUUCACAGUUGUUACAUUAACUCAAAUGAUACAUAUACACUAGCACAUAUAUCAUGGGAAACCAGUAAACAAAAAAUUGGUUCAAAAUGUUUCCCAUCAAGAAAACAGAAUUCCAAAUAUUCCUUGAUUCACAAAGAUUUAAUAUCCUUUAGUUAGAGAAACUGCAAACCUAACAGUUAACUCAUUUACUCUAUACCAUAUAAGAAAAUGUUUCUCCUAAUACCCUUUUCUGCUUAACAAGUUAAACAUCAAAGCAUCAUAAAAUUCUAUAUUUUCCCCCAUAAUAGUCUUUUCUAAAUGACAAGUUUUGGUACAUUUUCUUCCACAUGAUUCUUCUUAUUUUGUAAAGCAAAAAAAUGAUACCAACUGUAGUGUAGCACAUAUUCUAGGCACAUAUGAAGACAUGACACUGCCACAAAAACACACCAAAAUCUAGAAUAAAUAGUAGAAUAGACUAGCAUUGUGGGUAUGUGAUAUGUCAACUUUACAAUUUAACAUGUCAAGUCAACCACACUUCAUCUGCGAAGCAAAUCCAAAGAUAACAUGAUUAUUCAAAAUUUCAAUAAGCAGUAAUUACUCAUUGUUAUAGCUUACCAAAAUCCCAAGUUUUAGUAAGUCAACCAAUUAUUNNAUGAAAGUACCACUAUAACAGUCUUAAGCAUGAUGAUUCCCUAUAAGUAUCUCACCUUACUCUCAAGUUCCUUGAGUGCAACAAUGUUGACUUGAUCUCUUCCUUUCUGAAAUAACUCAUCAAGUGACUUGCAUAGUGUUGCAUUUUUCCCAACCUGAAACGGAAGUAGAUAUAUAAUUACCAAAUUGCCAACAAACAAUGAUACUUCUAAGCAAAGAGAUGAAGUAAAAUAGAGCUUAAGAGAAAUGAAAAGGUUAGUAAGCAAAUAGAUUCUUUUCAAUUCUAUUAAAUCUUCGUGUCUUGUUAAUAGAAACAACAAUAAAGUGGAAAAAUAACCCUACUCCUAUGCCUCCAUUCCACUCUCUCAAUCCCCAUUUCACUGCACUCAGUUAUAUACCAUCAAUUCAAUCCUAGAUUGGGGACUCACCCAUAAGUAACAAGGAAUUCACGUUGACGAAUGGUGAACCACGAGAAGUGAAUCGUCAACGCGAAUUCCACUUGGUUGGAGCAGAGAAUAAAUGAAAGGAGAAAAGCAAAGGACAAACCAGUCUGCGGCGUUUGGCCUUGGGAGAAGUGAACCUCUUAACGGUCUUAACAAAAGCAAUGACAAAAGUGAUGCCGGCGUAGGCAAGGGGAACGGCGAGGAUCCAAGGCAGUGAUGUGGGGCCCACACGCGGACCAGGCAAGGCUUGCGUAACGGACCCGGUGAACUCCACGAGGUCGAGCGCCUUCUCCUGAAUCCACGGCAGUUCUUCCUCUACUUCCACCUCCUCGACCUCCUCCUCCUUCUUCUUGCCUCCCUCCUUCGGGGCAUUCGACGCCGACGCCGAUGCCGCUGAAGAGAACAAGAAUCGUUGGCGGUUGAGUCUAGCAGAUGGGGAAGGCAAAGAAGAAAUAGACGUAGAAGUAGUGGGGAAGGGAUUGUUGGGAGUGGGUGGGAGAAGAAGCUUGGAAGCGGAGAGAGAACAAGAAGUGAAAACCAUUGCUGGUUCGGUUCAGUUGCCGGCCAAGCUUACUGGUUUUCACUAUUCAGUUUGCAGUGCUUGUUUCGGCUUGCAUUUAACAGAGACGGAGGGGUUUCUGAUAAAUUUUAGGGGAAGCACACUUAAACCCUUUGCAAAUCAUUUGCCCACACAAUUUUGACAUCUCAUUAGCUCAUGACUAAAAGUAUGGAUUUAGUAGCUGACUUUAGUUUUGAUUUAUUAUAGUCUAAUUUUUUUUUUGUACGGGUUGAGAGUCAUUGGAUAAUAAUUUAGUCAAACAUGUCAGAUCGAUUUUUAACUAGUAAUUUCAUAUAAAAAUAACUGAUGUUUUAAACUUAGUUUUUACUCUUUAUGGAAAAAAAUAAAAGUGUUAGCUUUCAACUUGUAAUAAAGAUGAAUAUAGUUAAAAAUAUAGUUAUGGCAUUUGUCAAAUUUAUAGAAUUAAUACUCAAAUAUGUUUUUAAGAUAUAUUUCAUUUUUCAAAUUAGUUUAUAAAAAAAAUUGUUAAUCAUAUUAGUCUCUAAAAAAAGAUAUAAUCAUAAGUUAAACUAAUCAUUUUGUCCAUUAAAUGAUAACGUGUCAUGUUAAUUAUCACAAGUCAAUGUAUCACAAAAUGUUUGGUAGAUGUGUUCAUGAUUAUAUAAGUGGUAGUCUGGUAGACCGAUUAUUUUAAUUUGCAUGUAGAAUCCCACUUUUCUAAUUUGCAUCUGCUGAAUUAAUUUGUAGCAACAUAAAGAUAACUUGAUGAUCAAGUAACUAGAAAUAAUACAAAAUCAAUUAUGUGUACAAGACUUUAAAAUUGUAGUAUUACAAAAGAAUCAGAAAGAACAAAGAGUCCCGUGUAUAUAUCCUAUACAAACUCUGUAUGAAGAAUCAAAGAAUGAAUCUGUUGUCAUGUAUACUACUAUUUUACAAUUUUACCUUAGUCUGCUCCUAUCACUCUAACAGAAAUCUACAUUGUCUCGGAUACUAAUCAGUAUAUUUCUUCAUCAAAAAUGGAACUUAGGAACGAGAGCGCGACCGGGAUCCAUUGCACAUGCACUCCGGGACAGGAUACUUGGUGACAUCCCGGCCGGCCUUGCUAGUCCUGAGUUCCGGCUGCCCUAACGAGUCCUGAUGCAAUCCCUUGACAAUCUUGUUGAACUCGGCUUCCGGAAGGGAAGAAUUCAGAAAAUAAGGUAGCAUUUGUCUCUUGUUUGGAGUUAUAUAUUUCUUGUGCCCUGCAUAGGCUCUGUGACCCUGAAAACAUUUAACAACAAAGUUUAGAACCUAGAAUUUGCAAAGUGACACAAACUAUGUUUCGACUUGUUAUUAUACCUGAAUUGCAUGGCCCAUGUUUCCUCCAUGAGACGGCAUGAAAACGUCGCUCUUCUCGCAGACGAUGUAAUCUAUUGCAGCCAUUAGAGAAGCUUUGUUCUUGAAAGGUUCUAGUUCGCCCGGCAAGGCAAGAUCUGCCUUGCUGUAAAAAUGUUGAAACUCAUUGAUUAAUGGAUACAAGGCUUCUUUUCCACCCAAUGGUUCUCCUCCAGCCCAAUAAAUUCUAGUAUUUUUCGGAGCACCUAGAGCUUUAAGCAACCUAUAGAAAGAAGAAAGAAUUAGAAAAUGAUGUUAUGGUGAUUCUUAGAAGAGCAUACAGAUUGUGUAAAUUUGUAAUGUAUCUACCUGGUAACCUCUACAGCAUUCAAAGGGCAUAGGCCAGCUAGCUUCCUUUCAUGGUAAGUCAUAUUUGAUCUUGCUGUCAAGAGCUUCGGCCGUUGAAUCCGCUCAUUAUUUACAAUCUCAUCAUACUUAGGACUCAGACCAGGUAGACAACCAGUCCUCACCCAAACAUCCUUCUCCAUCCGAAGAUGAAGCGCAAGGUACGGUCCCUUGCUCUUCAUUCUCUCUGCAAUCUUGUUACCGAGUUCCUGGACUGGCUUUGCGAAUCUUAAUGCAUUAAAAGCAACCUGAAAGGAAAGGUGGAAGGAACAUUUAGAAUCUGCAAUUUGUUUUGUUUUCCAAUGAACAAAUAGACUUUGCAAUACCUUGCAUCGAAGCUUCUGAAGAUCAGAAGGAAGAUCCUUUGACAGCCUUGAAUCCAAGCCACGAAGAAGUAACACGCCUUCUCUGUUGAGCUGCACAAGACAACAAUCAUUCAAUCCAUGUCAAGAUAACCAUCAACACAUAACAUGUUGCAUUUAUUCACAUUGGACACAUUGAUUAACUUUGUUCAAAGAAAAGUAUAUGUGAAGAACAUUGCAAGUUGCAACUCUUACCCUUUUGAGAUAGCGUGCGCGAAUCCAACUAGGAGUGACAUGAAGGGGAGGGCUCCCCUCCACUGGCUUUGUCAUCAGGUGUGUCGAUGGCAAGGCCGAAACCACAUGCACAUCAUUGGCCAGAACUCUCUUGAAGUGCUCCAAGUCAAAUAUAUCAGCAAAUUCACUGCAACCAAAAUAAACACACAAACAAGGAAACACCAUUAGUUAAAGAAAACUCUCUUCUAACAUUGGCAAAUAAGAAGUAAAUCAAAUCGAAUCGAAUAAAGUCAAAAUUAAGCUCAAUACUCAGACCAGAUUAAAUAGAUGAAGCUAGCUAUCAAUAUUCAAUCUAACCAGUGAACUCAUAUAAAGAUCUAACACCUUGUUAUUUCUAUGCAUAGUACCAUUUUUAAUACUCAUUCAAAUUGUAGAAAACUGGUACCAAAGAGUAAACAGAACUAAUGAAUUAUGAAAAAUGAUUGUUUUACCUUUCAUCACCCCAAAUGACAUUGACCUGCAAAAUAGGAACAACCAAAGAAGCACCAAGGAUUCUAGCAAUGACAACAGCAUCAACAAUCUGGUUCCUCUGCUGAUUCAUCCCACCAGAAACCACAACCAUUAGAUACUUCCUUCUCUCCUUCACAACACCUUCACUUGCCAUUCUAUAAUCCCUACUGAAUUCCAAGCAUGGCUUGUACCCUAACCCAUUUGGUUGCUUCCAAAACUCACUCUUCUCAACAACCUCUUCACCAUCAACAUUAGACCCUCUUGCUUGUAACUGCACAUUAGAAACCAUAGUAUGUGACUGAGACAAAGAAUUAGUAGCAGCAUUAAAGACCCCUUCUUUCUCAGCAUUAUGAACUGAUUCAUCAACCUUUGAAACAGCUCCAAGUUUUGAUUUUGAUUGCAAUUUGGAGUGUUGGUGUUGUUGUGGCAGAGAAAUGGAACAUGGGUAAGGGGAAAAGGGGAUGUCAACGUCGAAUCCGAACUUGAUCAUGCCGAAUAAGCCAAUGAAGAAGAGUGUGGAGAAGAAGAGUCUUGGGCUGGUGAAGUUGAAGUUGAAGAACUUGUUCAUGGAGGUUGGUCUUGAAGAAGAUUUCUUGGGGGAUUCAAGGAGAGAUUGCAAUGAAGAUGAUGAAAUGGAGUUUAUGAUCUGAGAUGGAACGGAGAUGUAGGAUAACUUCUUGGCUUUGUUCUUGGACUUGGCCAUUGUUGAAAGAAACUUGCUUCUUCUUGUUUUCUUCUUGUUGAAUGGUUCUGUUUUAUUCCAAAGAGACCAAUUGAGUUGUGUUUGUAGAAAAAUAAAGGGCGGCGGGAGGGAGAGUCUUUUAAGCUUUUGAGUGUGUGAUUAAUAUAUGUGGACUUGAACGCGUUUAUAAUCAAAUAGGGACAGCUCAAACUCUCGGUUUGGUGGGACUUUGGAAACUCAUGCUUUUUUUUGUGUGUGUGUGAUUAAUAUAUAAUGGAAAAGUAGAGGUUUAACAAGAGAAUAUUAAACAAUGUAAAUAAUAAAUAUGUCAUAUAUUUAAUUUAAUAGAUAUAUAGAUAAUUAUGUUUAUUAUUUUUAAUUAGAUAAUUAUUUUUUUUGAUUUAAUUUAUUUNNNNNNNNNNNNAAACCGAUAUAUAAUAUAUGGAGCAUGAUGAUUAAUUGACUUUUGGUUACUCGUUUUGUAAGUGGGAUUUCUUUAACGUGUUGUUUAUUUAUUUAUUACAUCUUGCAUUUUCCGUGUCUCUACUGUAGGCUUCCUACCUCCUAAAUCAGUUUGUUUUUAGGAGGGGUGACUGAUAUUGAAAUUGGGUUUUUUUAUUUAAAUACGCAUGGAAAAAUGAUUUAUUCCCUAAAUGUGCAUGGUUUGAAAUUCUGCUCAAAAUACGCAUACCAAUUUCACCUGUAGCGACCACAAAAUGAAUUCUUACUCCAUUUCACAAGAAGCGCCCACGAAAUGGGCCUGCUGUGUGUCAGAGAGCAACUCAAGCCCGCCUUCCACGAAAUGAAACAUAUCACAGGGGGCAUCCACAAAAUGGAGGAGUGAGAUAUUAGAACUGAAUAUGAAUCAAAACAAACAGAUAAUAGACAUCAAACUUGGAAGAACAAUNNNNNNNNNNNNNNNNNNNNNNNNNNNNNNNNNNNNNNNNNNNNNNNNNNNNNNNNNNNNNNNNNNNNNNNNNNNNNNNNNNNNNNNNNNNNNNNNNNNNNNNNNNNNNNNNNNNNNNNNNNNNNNNNNNNNNNNNNNNNNNNNNNNNNNNNNNNNNNNNNNNNNNNNNNNNNNNNNNNNNNNNNNNNNNNNNNNNNNNNNNNNNNNNNNNNNNNNNNNNNNNNNNNNNNNNNNNNNNNNNNNNNNNNNNNNNNNNNNNNNNNNNNNNNNNNNNNNNNNNNNNNNNNNNNNNNNNNNNNNNNNNNNNNNNNNNNNNNNNNNNNNNNNNNNNAAAAAAUUUCAUACACAACAUAAAUACAAUGUAGUAAAAGAUAUAAAAAAAAAGUUAUAUUAACAAAAAAUAAUAAAAAUAUCAUAAAAAUUAAUAAAAUACUUGAAAAAUUAGAGCACUAUAAAAAAAAAGUCAACAACAUUUGUCAUAUAAAAAAAUGAAUUUGCAUCUUCAUAUUUCAAAAGUUGUAUUUGCAUAAAAUUAGAAUCCAAACAUUUUAUUUACAUAAAUUACUCUAUUAUUUUAUAGUAACAAACACUACAAAUUAAGAUGACUAUAAUUACAGAAAUUUUGAUAUUACUUAAAAAAUAUAAUUAAAAUUAAGAUGACUUUUUAUUACUGCUUUAACUGAUAAAUGGCUAAAAUACUAGCAAAUAUUUUUUUUCUCUUCUAUAUAUUGAAGUGCCUUCUAAAAAUAAUUAAACUCGCUUAUUAUAAGAACAUAGUAUAUAAAAGUAUUUCGUUGUUGGCUCAGCUAAUGUCCACCAAUUCGUUUGUGCCAGGGACGGCUUGGCCAUUUCGUGGAUGCCCCCUGUGAUAUGUUCCAUUUUGUGGAAGGUGGGCUUGAGUUGUUUUCUGACAUGUAGCAGGUCCAUUUCGUGGGUGCUUCUUGUGAAAUGGAGGUAGAAUCCAUUUCGUGGUCGGCAGAGAUGAAAUAGAUGUGCGUAUUUUGAGCACAAUUUCAAACCAUGCGUAUUUAGGGAAUAAAUCAUUUGUGGUUAAUGAUUAGAGAUGCUAGGAGACUGAUAUUUUUCGGGCAAAAAAUUUUAUAUUUUUAUAAAUGUUUUAAGAUGCUUUUNNNNNNNNNNNNNNNNNNNNNNNNNNNNNNNNNNNNNNNNNNNNNNNNNNNNNNNNNNNNNNNNNNNNNNNNNNNNNNNNNNNNNNNNNNNNNNNNNNNNNNNNNNNNNNNNNNNNNNNNNNNNNNNNNNNNNNNNNNNNNNNNNNNNNNNNNNNNNNNNNNNNNNNNNNNNNNNNNNNNNNNNNNNNNNNNNNNNNNNNNNNNNNNNNNNNNNNNNNNNNNNNNNNNNNNNNNNNNNNNNNNNNNNNNNNNNNNNNNNNNNNNNNNNNNNNNNNNNNNNNNNNNNNNNNNNNNNNNNNNNNNNNNNNNNNNNNNNNNNNNNNNNNNNNNNNNNNNNNNNNNNNNNNNNNNNNNNNNNNNNNNNNNNNNNNNNNNNNNNNNNNNNNNNNNNNNNNNNNNNNNNNNNNNNNNNNNNNNNNNNNNNNNNNNNNNNNNNNNNNNNNNNNNNNNNNNNNNNNNNNNNNNNNNNNNNNNNNNNNNNNNNNNNNNNNNNNNNNNNNNNNNNNNNNNNNNNNNNNNNNNNNNNNNNNNNNNNNNNNNNNNNNNNNNNNNNNNNNNNNNNNNNNNNNNNNNNNNNNNNNNNNNNNNNNNNNNNNNNNNNNNNNNNNNNNNNNNNNNNNNNNNNNNNNNNNNNNNNNNNNNNNNNNNNUAAUUUAAAUGGCAUAAUUUUUUUUUCUCGUCUAAAAAUCUUGGGUUCAAUUUCACUCCUAAUUUCAGAGGGAAAAAAACACAUUUAUUGAUGUAUCACAUAUGAAGAAUUAGAUAGAUAGGGUAGUAUUAUAGAUUCCCAAAGGAAAAGUAUAUGAACCAACUCCUAAUCAGCCAAGAAUGGAACAACUUAAUUAAUUAUAAUUAUAUUAAUAAUUAAUUUUAAAUUUUUUAAAUUCAAAAUUUAAAAAAUUUAAAACUGAUUAAGUAAACCUAAUUAAAACCUAUAAAAAC
rnacentral:lncRNA from 1 species